UAAUACAUAUUAUUAGUAAUAUAUUUUUACUAAUAUAUGUAUAUAUAUUGCUACUACUAAUAUAUAUGUAUAUAUACAUAUAUUAUAGUUAUAUAUAUAUGUUAUUAGUAAAUUCAAUAAACUAAGACGUACCAUGAACACGUAAAAAUUCCCUGUGAUGAGUGUGAUAUUGUCCUGUUCAUGGUAUGUCUCUGUUCCUCCUUUUUGUCUCCCAUUCCCGUCCCCUCUUACCAGCUCUUCUUCCUCCCAUUAUUUACAAAGCUUUCUUUCUAUUUUAUCCUUUUUCUCCCACCUUUUCAUUGUUCUUAUUGCUUAUUCCAUUUCUUCUUAUUUCACAAUAUCUAUUAUAUAUUUUAAGUUUUAUUUACACUUUCAGUUUCUCAUGUCAGAGAAACAAUGCAAUACUAACACAAGUAACUGAUUUAUUUCACUUAGGAGUAUGAUCUCAUAGAGCAUCUAUUUACCUAAAAAUGUCUUAACUUUAUCCUUCUUAAUGGAAGAGUAGUGUUCCCUGCUAUUAAAAAACACAUCUUUUUUAUCCAUUCAUCAGUUGAUGGGCAUUUGGGCUAUUUUCAAGAUUUACUCAUUACAAACUGUGCCCUAUAAACAUGUAUGUGUAUAUGUCACUGUAGUAUGAUGCUCUAAAUUCUUUUAGAAAUGUACCUAGAAGAGGAAUAUCUAAGUCAUGUAAAGCCACUAGUCCUAGCUUUUGGGGAAUCUCCACACUGACUGAUUUCUACAGUGGUUGCACCAGUGUGAACUCCUACCAACAAUGGAGGAUUGUUCUUUUUUCUCCACAGCCCCAACGGCCUUUGCUAUUGGUUGAUUUAUUGAUGACAAUCAUUCUUUCUGGAGUGAAAUAGAAUCUCGCCAUUGUUUUAAUUUGCAUCUCUCAAAUGAUCAGUGAUGAACAUGUUUAAAUACAUUUCUUUGAUAUUUAUACUUCUUCUGAGAAGUGUCUAUACAAGUUUUUUCAAGAAGGCCUUGCCUAUGCCUGUGUCUUUAAGGGUUUUAUCAAUUUUUUCUUCCAGUUGAUUCAUGCUACCAUUUUAAUAUCUAGGUCUUUGAUCCAUUUUUAUUUGAUUUUAAUAUAAGUGAAAGAUGUAAGUCUAGAUUCUAUCUUCUGCAUGUGGACAGCCAGUUUUCCCAGCACUGUAUCUUUCUUCCAGUGUAUAUUAUUGGCCCCUUAGUAAAAAAUUAGCUGGCUGAAUGUGCUUGGGGUUAUCUCUGCAUUCCUUCUACGGUUUGACUGGUCAGUUUGUUUUGUGCUAAUAGCAUGUUGUUUUUAUAGUGUGGUUUUGUUGCAUAUUUUAGAACCUGGGAUUGUAAUCGGGCUUCACUGGGGACCAGGCUUGAACACAUGGGCCUUUGAAGAAUCUGAAUGAGCCAAACUAUAGCAGCAUCAUGAGAUGCGGGAGAUUACCUUGGAUAGUCUGGGUAGGUUUGAUGCAAUCAUAAGGUCCUUAUGAAAGGAAACAGGAAGCAGAAGAAUCUGAGGAUACGUAACAAUGGAAGCAGAGGUCAGAGUGAGGCUGAGAAUUGGAGGCAGCAUCUGGAAACUGAAAAAGCAAGGAAGUAACUAAUGUCUUAGAAAUUCAAUGAGAAGCAAGCCCUACUGACGAAUUUUGGACCUUUGACCACCAGAAUUGAAGAUAAUAAAUUUGUACCUUUUAAGUCAUAUAUUUAUAUUAAUUUGCAAUAGUAGUAAAGGGAAACAAAUAUAACUGUCAUUUAAAAAGUGUGAUUAUUGUCACAAUGGACCAUAAUUUUCAUUUGUUUAUUUCACAGGACAAACAUUCUGAAACAGCAGUUGAGUCAAGGCAUCCAGGCUUGCAUAAGUGGAGGUUAUGAUUACAGAGUGUGACCAGUUUCCACAAAGUUGGCCUUCAUGGUGGCCCUGGGCUGUGUCCAUUGACACUACCAUCCCCUCCUCUCCAAAGGAAUUGACAUGAAUGGUGGUUCAGAGCACUUUCAACUGCUACCGUGUGGAAACAAUUCUUUCUUUUCUUAGGUACUAUUGCUUAGGUGGUGCAGCCACCACCAUGAGUAUAGAAGCCAUAUGAUCUGAGCCAAAAGUUGAAAGAUGGAAUACUUGAAAUUUGGCCUUUAGGGAAAUUUGAAUUCUGUAGUGAUACAUAUGGCUGAGCAAGGGAUGGUUUAUGAUCAUCUUGGUUAGAAGAUAAUUUUGUAAGCACUGCAGAGGGCAGAGUGCUUUGCGUUUGCCUUCUUGAUUGAUUAUCAUGCCUAACAGUUUCUUGCUGGAACACUGGAAGUUCCCAUUUUGUCUCUUGAAGUUAGCCUGCGUCCCAGCAGAUGGCAGCCCAGCAGCAGUCUCAGUAGAUGGAUGGCCUAGAGAGAGCCUCACAGACAAAAGCAAACAUUGAUUAACUUCCUGACUGUGGAAAGCCCAAAGCUGUGAAGCAUUCAGAUUUUACUGGUGGUGGUGGUGACUCAUGGAACUAGUGGUCACUGAAAUUCUCUAGCCUAUGGGCAGACAGGCCGGGUUGUGCUACACAGGCUGUAAAGUAUGGUGACUGAGUGCACAUGGUUCAAUUAAAUUGAGUUAAAUCUGACACAUACAUGAUGGUGCAGAUUAUUGUUAAUAGGCUACACUGUGAUUAGGGAAAAUGGCUAAUAGUUCACUUGAAUGACUGUUUUUGGUAUUAUUUGCACAAUACGCCACUUGAAAACACUAGUUUUCCUCUUUUCAUUUUCUGAGAUCUGUGUUUUUAAUCAGCAUCAAAAUCACUAUUUCCUCUCCCUUUCCUACCUAAAAAGGGAGAUACCCUGUGUAAGGCAAUGGUUCAGAGUUCCUCCAACAAUCCCCUGGUGUCUUAACCCACAACCGAAGUUCUUUCCUGUUCAUGUUUGUGAACCUAUCUUCUUCCCAGGAUGCUGUUGAUUCACUGCACUGAGUGUUAUAGGCACUGAAACAUUGCACCAAGAGGCUUAGAUUUUUUUUCUUUACAGGCCAAGGUGGAUGUGCAAGGUAUCGUAGGACAGAAGAGGCACAGUGGAAAUUUUCCCUGACAUGUAGUAGCUUGUUAUAGGGGCAGGACAAUGGAAUGACCAGCUCUGCCUUGUCUAUAGAGAAGUGUUAAACAAGAGGCAAAUUCCUUCAGAGGGGUUUGGCUUCUUGUUAUUACCAUGGGGCAGCUGUGGGAAACAAAGUCAAUCAUAAAGUAUUCCUUUCCUCUAAAAGACUCUUCUACUAGUUUAGGGUCUAACUAAUUAGUAUGAUUUGUUAUUGAGUUUUAAGGCAACAGAUGUAUGCUUCGAAUAGGAGAACUUUGGUUUUGUAAAACACAAAUGGGUUCAGAUUUGUUUUCAGUGCUUGGCUGAACUCAGGACCCAAUACAUGUUAGCAAACCCUUCACGACUGAGCUACAUUCUCAGCUCCCAUAUGUUUAUUUUGAGAGUGAAGUUCAUUGUGGUUUAGACCUGGUGGCGCUCACUUUAGGAACAUUUUAGAUCUGCAAAUAAUACUACGCACUCAUUUGUUUAAACAGUGGAUUAAAAUAAUGAUAGAGUGAUUGAGAAGGCAAAGAAACAAAGAAUACAUUUUGUUCCUUCAGUAAAUGCUUUUGGCUCUUUAUUGUAGACUAAUGAUCUCAGCAGUGGGAUUUAGCAAUGAAGCAAACAAAUCCAUGUCCUUAUAGAAUACAUGUGACUGUCAUUUGGGUCAACAUAGAAAGAGUUGCCAAUAUUUUAGAACAUUCUCUCAUUCCUAUACUUAAUCAGUACUUACCCUCCAGAUCUAUUACUCUGAUUUCUAAUAGCACUGAUUUGUAUUACUUAUGCUUUACACAAAUUCUAGGUUGAUACAUAAUAUUUGUACAUAUUUAUGAGGCACCUUAUGAUAAUUUGAUAGUUUAUACAAUGGAUCAUGAUCAAAUCAGUGUAACUAGCAUUUGCUUGUCCUCAGACAUUUAUCAUUUUUAUGUGUUAGAAAAUUUCAGGCUCUUUUAGCAUUUUAUAAUAUAUAAUCAAUUGUAAACUGUAGUUGCCCUAUGGUUCUUUGAACACUAGAACUAAUUCCUUUAUGUUUUGGUACCUGUUAUCUAGACUCAAUGGUAUUACUAACUUUUGAACUUCAUAUAAAAGAAGUUUUUCAGUACAUUUUUUAGGUCUAGUGUCUUUCUAAUCACCAUACAUAAUGUUUCUGAGAUUCAUUCAUAUUCUCAAGUAUCAGUGUUAUGGUUUGUGCCCAAUGAGUCCCUCCAAAGCCCUAUGUACUUUGGGAGGUGGCUGAAUAUAAAGUUUGUGAUUGGUUCAUGGUUCAUGCUAGAAGUAAGGGUACUGGAUUAAGGGUGAGCAAUUUCUGGGAAUCAUUCUGGUUGAAUCGGCACUGCCCUGACCCCAGAAGUCUGAAUAAGUUAAAAGGGACAGAAAGAGACUUCUCUCUCCCGUCAUUGGUCUGUUUUUGCUGUUUUCUGCUGUCAUGAACUAUUUUUCCUCUGGAGUGUACCUCUGCCAAGUUACCUUGUGUUGGAGUCAGUCAAUUCUAGGCUGAAACCUCUACAAACUGUAAGCUAAACAAACCUCUUCCCCGUAAAGUUUGAGUAUCAGGUAUUUUUAUCUCGGUUAUGGGGGAAAAUACAAUCAGUUAACAUUUUUUAAAAAAUUUCUGAGCAGUGUUUCUAUGCAUGAAUAUGCCAUGACUGGAUUAAGAAUUCUUUUGUUAAUGAACAAUUUGGUUGUUUCAAGUUUUGAUCUAUGAUGAAAGAAGUAUAUAGGAGUAUUUUUGGAAGAAUCUUUUAGUAGACAUAUUUCCUUGCUACUAUUGGGUAGAAGAAAAACUUCCUGGAUCACAGUGUAACUCUGCAUUUAAUUUUAUCAGAAAUAGCCAAGUAGAUGUUUCAAAGAGUCUAUACCUUUUCAGUUUCCCAUAAGCCAUAUAAUUCCACUCUGCUUGUCACAAAUUGCAUCUUAAAUGUUCCCCAGGCCACGUGCUAAGGGCUUGACCCUUCGAAUGGCCUGUUGGAAGGUGGAGGAAUUUUUAAGAGGAAGGCCUCAUGGGAGCUCUUUAUUCAGACCACUGAGAGGUUUGCCCUUUCAGGAGAUUUUGGGAGAUUGGUGUCCUUUUUAUUCUUUUUUGCUCCCUAGCAGCAUCAGUUAAUCUAAACUGUCAACUUGAGAAAAGUAAUUUGUCAGUAGUUUUUCUUAUAUUUUAUUAAGAAUGCUUGUGUUUGUGUUUAUGAGGAAAAUUAUGCACCUCUUCUCAGGUGCAUAAACUGAGUUAGAAAAUGUCCUCUCUUCUUUAUAACGUGAAAGAGUUUAUAUUUUAUUGCAGUCUCUUCUUCACUGUGACUUCAGGCCUGGAAUUUUCUUUAAAUUAAAUAUUCAGGUUCUUUAACAGCAUUUUAUUCUUUGUUGUUGUUGUUCAGCAUUUUAUUCUUAAGAAUUUUUAUUUAUUUUUGUGCUACUUUGACAAAGUUGUGUUUUAAAAGAAAUUUUCCCAUUUCUAAGGAGCUUCUUAAAUAUAUUAAUAAAAUGUUCUUCAUAUUGUUCCUUUGGUUUUUAAAUAUCACAUGAUCCAAUUCAUUCCUGAUAUUGGUUAUAAUUGUUUUUUUCUCUUUGUUGUAUUUCCAAGAUUUGUUGGUUUUAAUAAUCUUUAGAAGAACUUUGGCUUGAUUGAUUUUGCUUUGUCAUUUUCCUAUUUCAUGAUUUUUUUCAUUGUUAUUUUUCUCUUAAUUUCUGAGGGUUUAUUUUUCAAUUAUGACUCUACUUUCUUGAAGAAAAAGCCUACUUUGUAGACUGAUUAUUUCAUUUCUGAUACAGUUCUAUGUUGCUUAAAGUUAGGAAAACUUCUGGAAAAAGCAUCAUGAGGUGAUUUUGUCUUUGUAGGAACAUUUCAGAGUGUACUUUCACUAGGGCAGCUGCAAUGUCUUAUGGGACCGCAUUAUCUAUGUGGUCCAUUGUUGAUCACCAUUUUAUUAGGAGUUAUAUGACUGUGUGUGCAUUCAAUUUAUAGCUUUACUGACAUUUCAAAAAUUUUGAUACAUCAUAUUUUCAGUGAUCAUUUUAUUCAAAAUAUUUUCUAAUUUCCAUUGUUACUUCAAUUUUGAUCGAUGGCUUACUAAACAAUGUACUACUGGCCAGAUAUGUGCCACAUGCCUGUCAUCCUUGUACUCGGGAGAAUCAUCAUGAGUUCAAGGUCAGCCUGGGAUACAUACUAAGUGCAAGGCUAAUUGAGUUGUACAGUGAGAUCUUGUCUCAAAAAACCAACCAAACAAACGAAACCAAAAAACUCCAUGAUUUUCAGUCAUUUGGUAGAUUUUUUAGUUAUUUUAUUAUUACUGAGUUCUGGUUGAAUUUUCUUGGGUUCUACUGCACAGAUACAGCUCAGGUCUUUUUCAAGAUAAAGUGCUAUAUUUUUUGUAAUAUGUUUCUUAACAGUUUAACGUGUAAAAUUGUACUUCUCUCUUUCUUCAGGUUAGAUUUUUUUUUUGUCUUUUUUUCCUUUUUAUCAGUACCAGGGAUCAAACUCACGACUGCUGCUUGCAAGGCAGGCGCUUAUGUCGCUGAGCUAAAUCCCCAGCCCCUGGUUAGAUCUUUUUUAAAAAGUGUCACUAACAAAGUUUUUGAGAUUAUGACUUGAUGGUCUUUUUCUGAUAAAAUUUAUGGUUUUUAUAGGUUGAUUUUUUGUUUGUUUUUUGUUUUCUAAGACAGAGUCUCACUGCAUAGUUCAGACUGCUCUUUAACUUACUAUGUAGCUCAGGCUGACCACAAAUUGCUACAGUCCUCCUGCCUCAGCCUCCCACGUGCUAGAAUUAUAGGCAUGUGCCAUCAUGUCCGACUAGACUGAUUUUGAAUGGGAUGGAGACUUUUAGUAAUAGCUAUGUCAUGUUUAGAGAGAGGUUGAGAUUUAAUGGAUUGUGCUAAUGAAUGGAUCAUAAAUUCCAGGGAGCGGAAUAGAAAGGGUUUUAGGAAAGAGAGAGGUGGCAGAAAUAGAGAAAAUGCUUAAGGAGGACUUUAGGAUUAUUAGAAUUCAGGAUGCAAGGUGUGAGCUGGGAGUGGUCUGCUUGUGGUUUGAACAAGAGGCAAAGGAUGAAAUGGUAUUAGACCCUGGGCAUCAAGGCCUACAGUGGUAACCAGGAGAGGAGUACUGGGGUUGAGAGCGUUAACGUUCUGGGUUCAUUAUUUUUAGGAAGCAAGGAAAAGAUUACAGGUGAGGGGGUCAGGGCACUGAGCUCUCUCUGGGCAUGAGGUAUUUUUUGAGAGUUAACACUUGAAUGUGAAUCAUUUCAAGAUAAAAAUGAUAAUAUUUAGUGUCUGCUUGAAGGGAACAAAGGCUUUGAAACUAAGAACACAAUACGCCUGAAAAGAGGGAGAGGACUGAGGUGGAGGAAUAUGCGCCAGCCCAGGAAGGCAAAGGCAGCAAAGGAGAGGGUGGGAAGUGCAUGAAAAUGAAAACAAUCUCACAGCCUUAGCAGCUUUGCCUUGGCUUAUUUUCAGUGCCUGAACAAGAUUUGCAGUGGGGACUUCUGUCGAAACUGUCAAGCACUUUAGAAACAAUUUUAGAGGAGGAUAACUCUUUGGAUAGAAAAUACCCUUACUUUAUCUUAAAAACAAAGUUAAUAUUCUUCCAUUAAAAAAAAGUAAGGGCUAAAAAAAAAGGAAGAUAAAAACUUUCUCUGCCACAGGCUGUCACCAAUACCUCUAACAUUUUAGUGUAUUUUCUGUGAAUAUCUUCUAUGUUUUAUUUUUCAGUGUGAGCAGAUCACAUACUAAAAGCAAGGAAGCAUAUCCUAAUUAUUUUUUAACACAUUGUUUUCUAGUUUUAAAAAUGUGCAUCUCAACAUAGGAACUCAAGAAAUACAGAGAAGCAUUCUGCUCUGGGUUGAACAGCUCUUUCCGCCGUGUUGGUUCUGCCACAGAGCCAGCCAAUCAUGGACUGAAACUGGGAGCCAAUAUAAACUUCUCGUCAUUUAAAUUAUAAAUAGCAGGUAUUUUGUCCCCAUGAUGAGAAAGCUGCCUAAGACAAUUGCUCAGAGUUGUUUGUGUUUUCAUGAGGUGGAAUUUAUAGUUGGAUACUAAAAUAGCUCAUUGUGUUAAGUUUUAAAGAAGUUAUCACAAUCUUACUUGGAAGUUCUAUUGUAGAAUUUCUCAGACUGUGGUCCAGAGGACAGCUGCGUCAGAAGCACUGUGAGCCAGCUGAAAUGCUGAUUCUUGGGUUCCACCUCAGGCUCAUUGAAUCAAAGUCUCCAGGGAAUGCUCAAAGGCCUACUAUUUUUUUUGCAAUCUUCUCAGCUGUUUCUUAGAAAAGCUUGAAAAUAUGAUGUUGGGGAAAGAUAAUAUUAAAAAGAACCUAGAUGCAGACACAAAUCUAGUAUAUUAGCAUUUUACAAGGACAAUAAUGGAAUCAUUGAGGUCAUUGUCAAGUGAAAAAGCUGGAAUGUAUUUCACUGUGAUGCUCUAGUUAUCUUACAUAGAGAAAUUUCCCAGGACUCUGAGCAUAACUGUAGUGACACUAAAAACCUUAUUUCACUAAUUUGUGCCUCUAAGCUACAUAACACUGUCCAACCUUCUCCAAAUCUUCCCAGUCAGCUCUUGGAGCUUUCCUCUGUGGUCCUUGGAUGUUACUUGACUGGUUUUACUAAAGUUCCUCUCACUUUUCUGGCUUGUAUCUAGGUGUACGCUCAAAGUGUCAUGUGCUCAUAGGCAGGACUUCCAGAGCCUGCUGGACUAGGUGAUCCUGUGUUUAAGGGUGUAUGUUACUAAAUUAGUCAACUGACUGGAAUGAUCAUAGUUCCGGGACAGGCUGAAUAGAUUUACUGAAGACAGAAGCCCACCCUUGGGUGUAAGUGGCACCACCUGAGAGGCUCAUAGCCUGCAUGGGAUGAAAGGGAAAGGCAGGCUUGUUGCGUCCUGCCUGCUUUGCCAUAGACUGUUUCUCCUCUGUGAUGCCCUCUUCCAAAUUGCCCUGCCUGAAGCCACUCAAUUAGGAACAGAAACCUCCACAAACUGUGAUCCAUAAUACACCUUUUCUCCUUUAACUUUCGGUGCUGGGUAUUUUGUUUUCGCAGUGAGAAAAAUAACUAAGACACUUACCAUCUCUCUUCCCUUUCAAGUUCCACUGGUACAUGAACCUCUCUUAGUUGAUCCCACUGGAACCCUGGGCAUCACAGGAAGAAGUUAAAUAGUUCUUAUAUUGCAGUCUAAUUAUUAAAGAGCACACAUUUUAUGUAUUAAAUGCUAAUUCAGGUUAUUAAAGUAAAACAUUACACUUCCAAAAACUAAAUUUAAAUAUAGUAAUUAAAUAUAAUAUUAAGAGAGAGGCAAGCAGUUGGGAGUAUAUUCUGGUACUUAAAUUAUUUCCUUUUUUAAAAUAAAAACCACUGCGUUUGUCUAUUCUUUUAUAUUUACCUGUGUUGGUCUGUGUUGAAAAUAGGAUGGAUUUUUGUUAAAGAGUUUUCAUUGGGAGGUUUCCUUUGUGCAGUCCUUCUAAGCAGUAGAGAUCCUUCACAAUAGGAACAGGAGGGCAGACUAGACUUGGAAAUGGGAAAUCAUUACAUAAGUGACCCUUAGUAACACGUAGCCCGAGGAAAAUGCAGGAUGUGAUGUACAACAGAACCUUUGUCCUGAAAUUGUAGAUUUGGUACCCUGUGGAAAUUUCCCCAAACUAAAGCAAUAAAGGAUGAAUUUGAGUUAAUAUCACACCAGACAGAGGAAAAACUAUUUCAGGCAUAGGAACCAGAAUAUGCAAGACUUCCAAGGUAGGAAAGAGCUUAGAGAAUUUGGACAAAAGAAGUUUCAAGUAACUUAAGCCAAGCACAGGAUUCCAACUGUGUAGACAAUGCAGCCUUUGUAGAAAAUUUGGGAAGUGUUCUAGAAAUGAAUGGGAAUCUUACAAAGGAUGUGAGGCAGGGUGGUGCUGUGAUCAGAUGUGUAGUCUGAGAUCAUGCUGGUCGCUCUGUAGAAAAUGGAACAGGAAGGGAUGGCAGUGGCCCUGAGAUGAUGAGGAGGUGGUUUGUACUAGUCAGAAUGGUCCAGAGAAGCAGAACUGAUGGGAUGUGCACCCUCUCUUCUCCUUGGGACAUGUUUAUUAAAGGAAUUGGCUCAUGUGAUUAUGGAGGCUAACAAAUUUCAAAAUCUACUCUCAACAAGCUGGACACCCAGGAAAGUUUUUAGUAUAAGCUCCAGUCUGAAUCUGAAGGCCUAAUAAGCAUGAGAGCUCAUUAUAUAAAUUUCAAGUUCCAACACAAAAGACCAAUGUCCUAGCUGAGGCAUGGAGGUAGGCAUUUUCUCUUACGCAGAGGGGCAGACUUUCUGUUCUACUGAGGCCAUCAACUAAUGGCUUGAGACCCACUGCACUAAGGAAGGCAAUUUGCUUUACUCAGUCUACCAAUUUAAAUGUUAAUGUCAUCCAGAAAACACUGGAUUGGUCAAACACACCCAGACAAGUGUUUACGCAAUUCUCUGGGUACAGGCAAAUUGGCAAUAACAGUUGAUUAUUAUACUUUUAUUACCGAAAGGCAAGGAGAGUGACAGCUGUAAGCUGGUGGGAGCAGUGACACCCUCCAUAAACACACUGAGGCAGAAUGGACAGAUUUGGGUGUGGAGGAGGAGGAGGAAUCGUAAAUCUUGUGCAUGUGUAGGACAAGUAAUUGGGCAAAUGAUCUUUUGUUGACAGAGGGCACAAUGGAAGAGGAACCAACUUCAAGGAGAUGUUUCCAAGUUUUUCUGAAUUCAGGAAGUCAGCAGGAUACAGCUGGGGAGAGCAGUAUCAAGGAGCAGGUGUGAAGCAAGGAGUGUGGUCUGGGCUCCCACUCACAGACUCUUUGUGAGGGUCUGAAUCUGGGCCAACUAAUUUUCUAGAUGGAAAAACACCAAUUUCAGCCCUCCACCUGCUUUUCUGCACAUUUGACUUUAUGGUGCUUGCAGUUCCAAAUGGACUUUGGAAGAGGGGUACCAUCCAUACCAGAGGAACCAGUACAAGGAAAGUGAGGAAAAACUACAUUAAACUCAGGCAGAACAGCAGCAGUGGCCCUCCUGUCUACAUGGUUCAGGCCUUGUGAAUGAGGCCUAGGAGAUGACCCUAGGGAAGGAAGGAGUCUCUCCUUAUUUUAUCCAGUUGGUUAGGUGCCAUUAGUUUGCAAUUCCAAUGGGCUUACUUACAUUAAGCUGAAAUGAUUUCUAGUACUAGAUUAUUGGGAUCACAUAAAUUUUUUUUUCUAUUGUUGCACAGCAUGUUUUGAAGGAAGUUCAGAAAUCUAUAUCUGAAGUUGUUAGACAGAUAUCAUUUUAAAUCAGUGGUAAAAUUUCUUGCUUUCUGUUUUCUUGAAAAAAAUUGCAUAGUUGAUUUCACGUAACUCUAUCAUCAAUAGCUUUUUAGGGCGCUUCCCAUUCAGUCUAAUUAGAAAUGUAUGAAGAAUUAUUGUAUAUCUUAAACAAUUUCCACAAUUUCUGAAGGCAAAUAAUUGGAAAUACUAGAACUCUAGUAUUCUGUUUUUUUAAAUUUGCAUUUUAAUGGUUUGCUAUUUAGCAUAAGUGGUAUUUGUUUUACUCCAGUGAAUAAUUAGUACUUAGAAUUAAAACAAUAAUAGUAACAUAGUGAACUAUUGUGUUUUCUUCAAAUCAAGCAAUUUAAUAUUGUAUUUUUUAAAUGAAGAUCUUGGUAUUUAUAUAGCACAACAGAACUAUAUCCUCCUUAUCUCAGAAUUUAAAAAUUAGACACUUGCUUCUUCCUACAAAUCAAAAGUACUCAAUAUAGUCUCCAGUCUAAUUCAUAAUUAAUUUCUAGUUCAGUAUUUUGAGAGAAUGCAAAAGAUAUCAUAAAGCAGAAAUGAAUUGAUGCAGGAUUUCUUUAAUGGAAACACAGUAGAUACUUAUACUUUACUCAUUUUUCUGUUUCAUGGGAUCUUUGCCUGAUAUACAUCUGAAAGUGUAUUUCCAUUAUAGUAUGAAACAUAAGAAUUAUUUUGACAAAUGGUAAGUUAGUCUUUUUAGUAUAAUCAGGGGCCAUCUUCUAGUAUUUAAUUGUGCUGGUGAAAUCUUUCACUUUUUUUCUUUUUUCUCUUUCUUUCUCUUUCUCUUCCUUUUUCUCUCUUUUCUUCAUUCCUUUGGUCUCUUCCUUUCCUUUAACAAAACAUUAGGCUCAAAAUAUUUUGCCAAAACUAUCUUGCCUUAGUCCUUUCUUGAUACUACACUAAAAUAGCAUAUAUUCAGUAAUUUAUAAAUAGUAGAAAUUUAUUUCUCAUGGUUCUAGAGGACAGGAAGCCUAUUUUCAAGGUGCCAGCAAAUUUACUGACAAGAGGACACUAGAUAGUGCCUUGUCGUUACAUCUUCUAGAGAGAACAAAGGUAUUCUCAGAUGGUGGAAGGGACACCAGGACAAAGGAAGUGAAGGCUGUGUUCUCACAUGGAGGGGGAGAUGGGAGGGCUGGGGAUCUCUCUGAAGCCGCCUUUAUAAGGGCAUUAAUCCCAUUUGCCAGGAAGACUGGACCACUUUCCAAGAGGAAGUGACCUAAUCUCCUCCUCAUGAGCAUCACCUCUUAAUACAUGACCGUAAGGUUCAGUUUCCAACACAUGUACCGGGUGGGUGGGUAGACGCGUAUUCAUUCAAGCUAUAACACAUAAGGAGUAUGUAUAUGUCUUGUAGUAUCAUGUUCACCCUUUAAAAACCUACACCUAGUAGGAAAAGAACAGAUAUGCAUAUAUAUAAUAUAAGAGGGAAAACCAACAGAUUGCAUGGUCUCAACGUGCACUAAAUAUGGAAGCAGCUGACUCCAGCAUCCUAAAUUACAGAACAGUGGAUGGUGUGGUCCUGACAGGGCUGGGAGCAGGAAAAUUGGCCAGAUGGAAGAGGCUCUAAAAUCACCUUAGUGACUGUAGAUCAAAUGAUUUGCUGACGAAAUUCCCAAUUUGGUACUAAAAAUGAGAAUUUUUUAUGAUUGAAAAAUUUUAUGAGUAAAAUCAGAAGCCAUUAAAAGGAACAUUUAGAUCCAAAUGACUUCGCUUAACCCAGGGCCAAAAUGGCUUUGUGGAUCACAGUUGCUAAUGUGAAUUGCACUCAGAGGUGAACCCGCAGCUGGAACAUAUUAGGGCCCAGUUGUUUCCUGAACUAGGCCAGCACCUUUCAGUGCACAAGCUGCUGAACUUGAACUUCCGAACCUCUCCACACUUGAGCUGUUUGGAAGGUUGCUGCCAGUAGGGAAAAUUUGAUCUUGUCAGUGAUCCACUCAAUAGUAUUACGAAUUCAAAGCAAAACAUGUUUUAUGAUCAAAUAAGCUUGGGAAACACUAACUGAUAAAGUUAGAAUAGGCUUUCUCCUGAAAGACCCUGUAAAGAUUUUAACAGACUCGUAUGAAUUGUGACUUCACAAGACUAUUACCCACAUUUAUUCAUCCAGUGGGCCAUUUUUCCUAGAGCAUUUCUAAGAGUUGUGCUUCACAAAAUACAAUUGGGGGAACAUUUUAUGAGUAUUAGUUGAAUUAUUGAGAAUUGGUUACAGCUGGGGUAACUAUGUAAUUUAUAUAUGGUCGUAGAACAUGGGUGACUUCAAGUGUGCUGGGAACUAUUUAUGAUUUUGCUUGACAACAAAUACAAACUAGUAAUGUUUUGGGCCAACCAAGAGGUAUGAUAUUUCUAAUUAUAGGAAGUACUGGAUAUUCCCACUAACAAUGAUUGUACUCUGAACAUCAGUCCAAAAGCAACAGGACACAAAAUGGUUGGGUCAGUAGAGAUCUCAGAAAUGGAGAUCCCAGGAUGAGUUUAGAUAUGAAAGAGAUUUAUGGGUUGAAAUUUAUGUGAUGACUAAAAGGGGAGGUUUGCAAGAGGCAGUUGGUUGAUACUUAUAAAAGGAGAAAAGAAAGGAGAAGAGAGGAAGGAAUGGAGGGAAGGAAGAAAGGAAAGAAAGAAGGUAGGAAGGAAGGAAGGAAAGAAGGAAGAAAGGAAGAAAUGGACAGCUUGUUGCCUGGCCUGUUUAAUUCCUCCCAUCUCUCAUACAGAGAGGUGUUUUGGCUUGAUUUCACAGCUAGGUUCUGGACCUUUGAGAGGAAAACUCAGAUUUCUUCUGCUCUUUCUGGGCCCUCUGGGAAGAUCUAGCAUGGACCUUACAGACUGAAGAUAGGAACUGCUGUGCUGAACAGGUGAGAACAGUACUUGAGGGGUGCCGGAGAUUGAAAGGGAGAAGAGAAGACAAAUAGAUUUGCUAGCAAUAGGCAUCUGAACUUUCUGUGACUAUAAAUCUCUUCUCAGAAUAGUGUUUUAAAAUGCAUUAAAGUACACAGAAUUACAGAAGACACCAAAAAUUACUGAAAUACCACUAAAAGCUAUUUUAAAAAUGUUUCUGACUUAGCAAAAAUUUCUUUAUUGACAUCUUAAUAUAAUGAAAUUUAGCACUAAGUCUGAAUAAGUAAUGGAAUUUCAAAGUAGCACAUAGUGUAAGGAAUCUGGAGAGGUCUGCAAACUGUUGUGGUUUGCAAAUAGAUGUGAUUUACAUUGGUUACAAGGUCACAGGUAUUGUUAAUGCUAUUACAGUUUGCCAUCAAUAUUAGUGGCUAAAGAAAAUACUAAAUUUUGGUUAGACAGUAAAAAUAAGCAUGCAGCUUCUUUCUCCAGAAAAUUUUAUGAAUGCCAUGUGAAGAAACUUUGCUGUAAAAGUUUUUGGACACUUCCUUUUGAGCUGGAGACCAAUGAUCACCUUUGAAGGUGGUUAUUACUCCUUAUCUUUGGAAAGCUAACUUGGGUGUAUUGGUGCCUGACCCCAGUGUGCAAUGACUCAUUCAAUACCUUUUCUUGUUGGCAGGCCCUGCUGUAUAAUCUUCUAGCUAUUGAGCUAGAGGUGGUGGAAAGAAAAGCACAGUCUUAUACCGGAUUCCAGACACUGGGAGGGAACAGAAACUUGAGUCAUUUGUCUUAGAGUGUAAGGCAGCUGUGGUGAAGAAUCUAGGCUCUGGAGCCAGACUUCCUAGGUUCAGAUCUCCGGCUCACCUGUGCUACCUUACCCCUCUGUGUCCCUGUUUCUUCAUCAGAAAGACAUGACACAAAUUAAGGUUUACCGCCCUGGGUUCCUAUGAGAAUUAAGUAAGCAAGAAGUUUAGUAUAGAUUCUGAAGUAUGAGCAAUUCUUAUUGUUUCAGUUAUGAAAGUCAGUAUAUUAAAUGCCCUUUCAAGAUUGAGAUGGGACUGUCUGAUGUAUGGUUGAUUUAUAAAGCCAUCAAGGAUGUCUAAGGUAGAGCUCCCACUAGAAAGGGGGUGUUGACUCAUAGCUGUACAUCAACAUAGGACCUGGCUUGCUGUCCCCAGGCAACUUCUGGAUAAGGCUGGAAAUCUCUCCUCCUCUGUUAGCCUGAGUGUACUUAGAACUGAAAGGCUGAGCAAAUGAAUGGAAACCAAAGAGCUGGGGACUAAGAACCUGUCAGGAUGUGCCAUCAAAGGAGAUUUUUAAGAAACUUUAUGGUCUGUGCAGAGGAAAACGUACCACAGUAGAACAUAGCACGUGGCCUUUGAAAACUCCGGAAGCAACACAAACAAUGGCAGUGGAAGUAAAUAUCAGAUUUAUUGUUGCUGGUCCCCUUCCAUCCUCUUAUCCAAUAUUUGGAAACCAGAUUGAUCAUUUUUUUAUUAAGUAUACUGCUACAAUUUAGAUAUACAUAAUGAUCAUAUUCAUCAUAGGGAAUUUGUACACUGUAUACGAUACAUCUUGAUUCCCCCCUUUUUUUGCUAAUCUUCUCCCCUCCUUUCAACUCCUCUUACUCUCCUUUUUUACAAAUCGUUGUUUCCAUUUUAUCUUUUUAAAAUUUUCCCUUCCUUCCUUUCCCUCCGCCUUCUCUCUUGAUUCCAUUUCUUUUGAACAAUUUCUUCCCAUUUCACAAUACCUGUUAUAUACUUUGGUCUUUAUUUAUGCUGUUGGCUUCUCACACCAGAGAAACAAUGCAAUAAUUAUCCAUGUGUGUCUUACUUAUUUGAUUUAAGAGUAUGGUCCUAAGGUGCAUUCAUUUACCUAUUUACCUGUUUAUCCUUAAUUAUGAUUGAAUAAUACUCCAGUGUAUAAAAAGACCCCACAUCUUUUCCUCCAUUCUUCUGUUGAUGGGCACUUGAAUUGUUUCCAAGAUUUAACUAUUACACAUUGUGCUGAUAUAAACAUGGAUGUGCAUAAAUCACUGUGGUGUGAUGCUUUAAUUCUUCUUAGGAGAUACCCAGAAGGGGAACAGCAAGGUCAAAUGGGACCCCUAGUUUUGAGGAAUCUCUACACUGAUUUCUAGAGUGGUUGUACCAGCCUACACUCCCACCGAUUUGUUAUUGAUUGAUGUAUUGAUGAUAGCCAUUCUUUCUGGCGUGAGAUGGAAUUUUAACAUUGUUUUAAUUGUAUUUCAUGAAUGACCAGUGGUAUUGAACAUUUUUUCAUACACUGUAAUUUUUCUGAGAGGUGUGUAUUAAUCUAAGAUGCAUAUUUUUGGAUUGGGUCUUUAAAUUUGCAGGGGCUAUGAUUUUUUUCAAUUAUUUAUAAGCUCUAGGUGUUAGUCCUUUAUCUGACAGACAACUGGCAAAAAUCUAUUCCCACUUCAUGGAUUGUCUUUUCACUCUAUUAAUAAUUUCUUUUACUGUGCAAAAGCUUUUUAAUGAAAUGAGAUCCUAGUUGUUGAUUGUUUGCAGUUUUCCCAUACUGUCAGGGUUUUGUUCAUGAUGUUUUUGCCUACAAAUAUGUAUUCAAGAAUUCUAUAUUCUUUUUUUCCAGAAGAUUUAGUAUUUAUGUUUUAAUGUUUAGAUCUUUGAUCCAUUUCAAUUUUAGUUUAGGUCAUGGUGAGAUACAUGGUCCUACUUUUAGUCUUUGGCAUGUAGAAAGUCAGUUUCUCCAGCACCAUCUAUUAAAGAGGCUUUCUUUCAGUGAAGUGACUAGGUCCCUUGUAUGGCUGCAUUUGCUUGGAUUUUUUGGUACAUCUUCUUAUCUGUUCCACUGAUCCUAAGGUCUGUUUUUUUUUUCCCAGUACGAUGCUGUUUUUAUCAAAGUAGAUUUGUAGUAUAAUCUUAAGUCAGAGAUUGUGAUCCUCCUGCCUUGGCUUUGUUGCCUACGAUUGUUUUUUCUGUUUUAGGUUCCAAAUGAAUUUUGGAACCAAGAUUCUUCUACUUCCAAAUGAAUUUUUUGGAAUGUUUUCUCUAGUUCUGUGAGAUAUGCUAUUGGUAUUUUGAUUAGGAUUUCAUUAAACUGAUGUAACAAUUUUGGGGAUGUGGCCAAUUUCUCUAUGUUAGUUCUUCCGACUCAUAUGCAAGAUAUUUCUUUCCAUUUUGUGACAUUCCCUUCAAUCUCCUUUUAUGGAGUGUCAUAAUUUUCAAUGUAUAGAUCUUUCACUUCUUUUGUUAGAUUGAUUCCUAAGUGUUUCAUUUUUUUGAGCCUAUUGUGAAAGUUGUUGGUUCCCUAAUUUCUCUCUCAGUGAGUUUGUUUUUUGCGUAUAGGAAGGCUACUGAUUUUUGAGUGUUGACUUUAUAUCCAUCUACACUACUGAAUUCAGUUAUUAAAUCUAGAAGUCUUUUGGUGGAGUUUUGGGGUCUUCUAUGUAGAGUAUCAUGUCAUCUGUGAAUAAUGAUAAUUUAAUUUCUUCCUUUUCUUAUUCCUUUUAUUUUUUUCUUGUAUAGUUGCUCUGGCCAAUGUUUCCAGAACUAUACUAAAUAGGAGUGGUAGACAUUGUUUUGUUCCUGACUUUAGAGUGAAAGCUUUCAAUUAUUGACCAUUUAAUAUGAUGUUGGGUAUUGGCUUGUCAUAGGUGAUUUUUGUCAAAUAGAAAUAAAGACCAUCUCUUCUGAUAUUCUGUAGGGUUUUUAGCAUGAAUGGUUGUGCCAAAUGUUUUUUCUUGUCUAUUUAGAUGAUCAUGUGAUUUUUGUCUUUGACUCUGUUGAUAUAGUGUAUGACAUGUAUCAAUUUGGCAGGUUCCUACAUCCUUGGAUGAAUUCUACUUGAUCAUGGCAUUUAAUCUUCUUGAUUUGCUGCAUUCUGUUUGCCAGUAUCUUAUUGAGGAUUUUUGUGUCUAUGUUCAUUAGAGAGAUUGGCCUGUAGUUUUGUUUUUUGGUUGGAAUCUCAUUCUAUUAAAAAGAAUUUGCACAACAAAAGAAAUCACCAACAGAGUGAAAAGAUAACACACAGAAUGGGAAAAAAAUCUUAGUAAGUUUUCCCUUAGACAAAGGCCUACUAUCUAGAACACAUAACUGAAAAAAAAUCAGACCUCCCAAAUUUAAAGACCCAUCCCAAAAAUGACAAAUGGCAAAUAAAUAUAUGAAAAAAUGGUCAAAAUCACUGGUCAUUCAUGAAAUGCAAAUUAAAACAACUUUAAGAUUUCAUCUCACCCUAGAAAGAAUGGCUAUCAUCAAUAAAUCAACAAAUAAUCAAUGCUGGUGGAGUUGUGGGGGAAAAAGGAGCCCUUUUCCACUGUUGGUGGAAGUGUAGACUGGUGCACCCACUCUGGAAAUCAAUGUGGAGAUUCCUCAAAAAAAAAACCCCAAAACUAGGCAUCUCCUUUUGGGUUUUUUCUUGGAAGAAUUAAAAAACAUCAUACUACAGCAAUAUAUGCCCACCCAUGUUUAUAGCAACACAGCUUGUAAUAGCUAAGUCUUGGAAACAACUUGAAUGCUCAUCAUCUUAAGGAUGGAUAAAAAGAUGUAGGAUUUUUCAUACAAUGGAGUACUACUGAGCCAUACAGAAGGAUAAACAUGAGACAUUUCUAGGUAAAUGGAAGGGCUUGGAGACCAUACUACUAAGUAAAGUAAAUUGGCCAUACAUUAUAAAUAUUGCAUUGCCUCUCUGGUAUGAGUAACUGUAAGUGUAAGUAGCAAUCAAAACAUAGAAUAGGUAUUGUGAAAUAGGAAGAUAUUUUUCAGAAGGAAAUACAAAUAAAAAAGCAAAGGGAAACUAGCAGAGAGGAAGAAGGAAGGAAAAAGAAAAAAUAUAAAAUGGAAACAAAGUUUUUUAAAUAAGGGAAGUAAGAGGAUCUGAAGGAACUGUAGGGGAAUGAGACAAAAAGAAACUUAGAUGUAUCAUGUACAGUUACAAGUUCCCUGUGAUGAAUGUGAUCAUUAUGUAUAUUUAUAUUACACCAAUAAACAAUAAAAAUCAGAAGUAAAUAUUCACUAUCACAACUAUUCAGUCAAAAAUCCAAACUUAAAAUUCUGGGGAACAGGGGGUAAUUGGCAGAAAAAAGAUGGGCUUUAAAAAAAUCUUGUGAUAAAUCCUACUGAGGGCAGCCCCUGCCUCUACAGGUAAACUGUAUAGUAAGAGUGAUUAGAAAAAUGGAGAGAGAGAGAGAAACAGAGAGACAGAGACAGAGAGAGUCGGACAGGGAGAAGGAGGGAGGGAGAGAGAGAGAGACAGAGAGAGAGAGGGAGAGAGAGAAAGCGAGAGCUAGACAGACAGACAGACAGACAGACAGACAGGGAGAGAGAGAGUGUGCCCAGAGAGACACCCACUAGCACAGUACCAUGGGAAUUUGUCAGAAAGAAUUAACAAAACAAGGAGGAAGCCAGAAAUAUAAAAAUCAGCUCCCCUCACCCACCUCUGCAAAGGACAUAAGGAAUGGUCACCUAAGGACUCUUAUUUAAUAUAUAAAAGACACACAACUACACAUAUACACUUGUGUGUACAUUCUCAAUUUAGCAUCACCAUACCUGUACCAGAUACACACAUGUCGCAUCCCUCGCAGAAGUAUGUAUAGUCUUAGAAGAGGUGCUGAGCUUAGGAAACAGAGGAAGAAGCCACUCUAGGAUUUAAAGUACAUUUAAAAUUGUUUUACAAGUAAUUUUCUAUGCACUUUUGAUUGAAAACCAUUUUCUAGUUCUCUGCAUUAGAAUUGGUGAUUCAAAAUUCAAAAUCUUCCCUACACUUCCAAAAAUAACAUUCAUAAAUUCUAACCGUAAUAUAUACUUUGGGAAGUGACAGUAGAUCAUAUCAGAGGUGUGACAAUCGGGAAGUUCAGCAGCGAUGCUAAUAGUCAGCCUUCUGAUGGACUGGUGGUUUGACCAAGUUGCAGCUUGUCCUCCAAAGGAUCAUUCUUGAUUUUCAAAUUUAUCUUCACGCAUAAUGCAAGCUGGUCACUUUUGGCUGGUCUGUGUGAUGCAGUCAUUCUUCAUGGUACUUCUCUGUCUACUUCAGUUCACUGGUAAGCAGUGGCUUUUCAUGAGCAUUUGCUCCUACAGCCUGGGAUCCUGUUGCUAUAUAAAAAUUAGGAUGGCAUCAGCAGAGGCUACCAGCGGGAGGCUGGUUCUUGUCUUCUCUACUUAGUAGCUAGGUAGAAGUACUUAACCUCACUGGGUCAGCAGUGCCUUAGCUAUUCAAGGCAGAACUGGACCAAAUGUUCUCCUAUGCUCCUUCCAAAAGGGCUGUAUUUCUAUGGAACUGUUAAAACUUUGUGCUGUCUUUGGGUGUAAGAAUUAGUGUCUUUUAAAAGUAUCCUCUGCUUUUUGCAUGUUACACAAUGAACAUUUAUUGCUAACUAAAAUUAUUUAAUAAGGAAUGUGCACUGUUCAUACUUCUGUUCCCCCAGUUAUUAAAAAUUGUUGACAUGUUAGCAUUACAAAUUUGAGAACUUUUUGCUACCAUAACUCAGGUUUUCAAUUUUGUUUGUGAUAGGGAUUGAACUCAUGGCCCCCCACAUGCUAGGCAAGAUCUCUACAACUGAAUUAUAUUCUCAGUUUAUCUUUUAUUUUGAGACAGGGUCUCUCUAAAUUGCUAAGGUACCCAAACUGGGCUGAAGUUAUGAUUCUCCUUCCUUUGUUGCCCAAGUAGCUGGGCAAAUGUAAUAUAAGAAUGAUCUUAAUUCUGAAUCUUUAGUAACUCCAGCAAACUGAUAUUCUAAAGUAGAACAGAGGAAAUCUCUGUUCUUCCAAAUAUCACUAAAGUUAUAGAUUUUAGUUAGCACUGUCUAGAUAACCUUAUAGUUUUUGUUUUGCUUUAUUGUUCCUAUCACACUCUGACUAGAUUGGCAAGUGUAAGUCAUUAUUUCAUGUUAUAAUUUUUGAGUUAUCAAAUUUAAAUUCCAUUAUCACAAUGAUUUGAUUUUUAAAAUAGGAUGCUCUUUUUAGUACAGUCAUAUUUUAGACCCAGAAAAGAUGAAAAAAUAUAUCAAUAACAAAUGGUUGUUUCUUCCUUUCUAUUUAUACCACUGUAAAUUGUACUUGAAUCCUAAUGAAAAUAGCAUUUUUACCUACUGACUUAAUUCACUAAUGCACAAAAAUAGAGGAGAAGGUAAAAUUAUGGAAACCUUUAUAGAAUCACUAGAAAUUAAGCAUGUACUUUUGACAAUAUAACAGUGGAAAUAUCUAAAAACUAUGAGUGAUUUAACAGAAUAAUUAAAAAUUUUUUUGUGAAUAUCAAGUACACAAGUUGAUUAAUCAAGAAGCCGAUCUAAUAUAAACAUUAGGAAGUGUAAAUGCCAAUCUAAUUUUUUUUACCUUUAAGAGGAAUGUUUUCUUAAAGUUACUUACUGUACAAUUUCUCUCCUGUUACCUUGAAGAUUUCUGUCAUGAAAACAAUAACUCAUGUCAGACGUUUUGAAAUAGCAGGCUUUCUCAGUUAUUAUAUUUUCUCUCACUGUUAAAUAAAAUUCAUGUCCUCUUGAGUCACAAUUUUUAUUGUUCUAGUGGUUCCUGGUGGACUCUGAAGUGUUAAUUAGUUUGUCACUUGACUGCCUAAAGAGUGCUGUGACACGCAAAAGUGAGAUGUGACUUUAAAAGCCACUGAUAUAUUAGAUGUGUACUUACCUUUUCUAUUGGGGAAUUCUCUUCAGUUUUGAGAUAAAGUUGCCACUGAUCUAGCUGUGCACUUAGCAAAGAUAUGGCUUGUGAGUUCUGUCCUACUGAUAAUGUCUGGGAAUUUCACAUGUAUAAACCUCAGUCAAUGGAAACGUUAUUUGGCUUUCUCUAGAAAUUACUUUCCUGGAAUUUACCAGCAAGCACAUUCUCCUUAUUUCUCAGCACCCUAGGAAUACAUUAGUGUCUCUAUGUGUGUAUAUACCUUUGCUUCUGAGCAUAUCUACUCAUUCCAGUUGUCUCGUGCUUAGACUGGAUCAUUCUAUGGUAUAUUUUCAGAAAUUUCUCAAAGAUUCUUAAUCACCAGCUCUGGGAGCUGGCUUAGUAACGCUGGCUACCUUCACUUCUCUGUAUCACCUCUUGGCUUAUCAGGAGGCCUGAAUUUGGAAGUGUCAGGAAAACCCAUUGCCUCAGUUUCCCUUUGACUGCCAUUUUUCAUCUUAUCAGAGCUCAAAGAGCCUUUUGUUUGCCUCACUUGUUACCUCUCUUCUGCCUACUUUCUAUGAAGCCACUAGCUUGCCCAGAAGUUUGCCCAUACACAAGAUCUGCUCACUACUCAAAGCACAUAGUAGGCACAUCCAAGGAACCAUAUGUGUCAUCAAACUACUUCUGCAUGGUCACUGCGGAAAGAGAACCUAUUUUUGUUAUCUAUUACUCAAAAACAUUGUAAAUCACAAUCAGUAUUUUUCAACGUUCUCCUGGUUCUUUGGACUCCGCUGGGAGAUAGGUCCAUUCCACUUUGUGUUGGCUGUUGUCUCUCAGGUAGCUGUGUCCCACUGGGACUAAAACAUUCAUGAUGGCUUCUUCCACCCAUCUGGUACUUCAACUGGGGUGGAAACUGGCUGGAGAUCGCCUGUGCUUCUUUUUCGUUGUGCAGUCUCUUAUCGUGUUAAAAUCUAGCCCAGGUUUCAUGUCUGGUUUCUAAGAAAGUGAAAAUGUAAGCUCAGGCCUUCUUCAGUGGUAGCCCAAGAAGCCCCACUAAACUCUCAUUGUUUCCUUCACUUGGUCAGAGCAAGUUCUCAGCCAGCUCAGAUCCAAGUGGGAAAGAGAUAGUUUCUGCAUCUUCUUUUCUUACUAAGAAAUGCAUUUGAAAAAAUUUUUAUUAGCGUGCUUCACUAACACAAAAUGGUCAGGUUCAUUUUGGAAAUUAGGUAUAUACAUUUAAUGAAUCUGGAUCAUUUUCAGUCCUAUUACCCAUUCACCCCCUUUCACCUCUCUGAAUCCUCUUUCCCAUGUCCAGAAUUCUACCUCUCAGUUUCCUGUCAUCUCUUAUUUAUUCAUUUACUUGAUUUCUCAUAUAAGAAAAAAUACAUGAUAUUCACCCUUAUUAGUCUGAAAUUUUUUCUUUUUUCUUAACUAAUGGUUGUUCUCCAGUUCCAUCCAUUUCCAUAAAAAUUACAUGAUCUCAUGAUUCUUUAUAGCUGAAAAAUAUUACACUGUGUGUAUAUAUGUCACAUUUUCUUUUCCUAUUCAUUUUUUUGUGGCCAUGUAGGCUGUUUGCACAGCUUAGCUAUUGUGAAUUGUGUUGCUAUAAAUAUGUGUAUACAUGUGUUGCUAUUUCAUGACAUCUAAUUUUUUUUAGGAAUAUACCCAGUAGUUGUAUGGCUGGAUCAAAUGAUAUUUCUAUAUUUAGUUUUUUGAGGGAACUCCAUCCUGAUUUCCAUAGUGGUUGUACUAGUUUAAAUUCCCACCAGAAGGAAUUAUUCCUUUUCCCUGAAUUCUUACCAACAUUCACUGUUUUGUGUUUUGUGUUCUUGAUGAUAGCCUUUCUGAGUGGGGAGAGAUGGAAUCUCAAAGUAGUUUUGAUUUGCAUUUCUCUAACGACUAAAAAUGUUCAACUUUGUCUUUUAUAUUCUUAUUGACCAUUUGUACUAUUCUUUUGAGAAGUGCCUAUUCAGCUCAUUUGGCUACUUUUUGUUUGAGUUACUUGGAUUUUGGGUGUUUUGUUUUGUUUUUUGUAUUGGAAAUUGAACUCAGAGUCUCACGCUUGCUGGGCACACGUUGUGCUGCUGAGCUACAUCGCCAGCCCCUGGGUGUUAAUUUUCUCACUAUUUUACACAUCCUAGAACUUAGUCUUACAUCUGAAAAUUAGCUAGGAAACAUUUUUCUGUCAUUUAUGAGGAUUGUCUCUUUACUUUGUUGUGUCUUUUGCUGUUCAGAAGCUUUGUAAUUUGACAUAAUCCCACUUGUUGAUUUCUGGUAUUAUUUCCUGUGGUUUGGAGUCUUAUUUAGGAAGCCUUUGUUUGUUCCUAUGUUAUCUGCCAGCGGUUUAGAAGUUUCUAGUUUAAUAUAUAAGUCUCUGAUCUACUUUCAUGUGAUUUCAAUACAGGUUAAGGGACAGAGAUCUAGUUUUAUUCUUUUGCAUGUUUUCAUACAGUUCUCCCGCCACUCUUUGUUAAAGUUUUUCUUUUUCUCAAGCAUAAAUUUUUAAUCCUUUUGUCAAAAAUCAGAUGGUUGUAGAUUCAUGGGUUUUUCUAUGUUUUUCACUCUAUUCCACUGGUCUACGUGUCUGCUUUUAUCUCGGACCUUUUUCUUGUUAGUAUGGCUUUGUAGUACAUCUUAAAAUACAGUAUUCUGAGGUCCUCAGCAUUGCUCUUUUGGUUCAGGAUUGCCUAGGCCAUUGUGGGUCUUUUCUGGUCUACAGGAAUCAUAGGAUUGUAUUUUCUAUGUAAAGUUGUGUGAAAAAUGAUGUUGGUAUUUUAAUAGAAAUUGUACUGAAUCUACAGAUCAUUUUUGGUAAUUUUCACAAGAUUAGUUCUUCUGAUCCAUGAAAAAGUCUUACUAUUUUCUAAUAUUUUCUUCAAUGUUCUGUAUUCUACUUCUUGAUGGAAAGAAUGGUAUGCAUAUACAGAGAGAAGGUAAUUUUUAUAGACAAAAUUGAAAUUACCUGUUGUGGCACCUAAUCAGUGUCACUGGUGAUUCACGUGUUAUUUAUGUUCCUACUUAAUUAUGUAGAGAUUAUUUUUCCAUGUUUCAACCCUGUCUGAAUGACAUGCCUCUCUUUCUUUCUUCUUUUACAAAGCACAGAAGGACCAGGGGGUACAAUAGCAAAGCUCUUCCAUUGGUGACUAUAUUGGUAUUACCUUUGGUAGCUAUUUCAAUAGUACCUUUUCCUCUUAAAAGUCUAAUUAUUUAAAAACAAAAACUUAGUGGUAUGUCAGGUAAUUUCUAAGUCUUUUUUUUUUACAAUGAAUUUUUUUAUUUUAAAGAAAAUAAUACCAAACAAAAUAAAACAGGAUAAAGCCAAUUAAAACAAAACCAUGAAAGUAAUAUAGAACUUCAAAACAAGGUAACAGGAAAUCAACAAUGGCUACCAUAUUGCCUCUUGUUAUCUUCAAAAUAGCUGCCCAUACCAUCGACAUAAUAAAACCAAACUAAACAGAACAGAAUAAAAUCAAUCAAAACAAAGCAAUGAAAGUGAAACAGGGCUUCAAAACAAGAUAAAAGGAGAUUAACAAUGGCUACCAUAACAUAUCUUAUUGUCUUUGGAAUAGCUACCCAUGCCAUCAGAUAUAAUGAAAUCAAACAAAACAAAAUAGAACAAAACCAAACCAAACCAAAUAAUGAAAAUGAUACAGAACAGACAAGAUAAUAGAGAAUUAACAAUGGCUACCACCUUCAGAAGGAAGUCCCCCAUUGUUGCUAUAUUGCAUAUUGUUAUCCUCUAAAUAGAUGCUCAAACAGCCUGAAGCCUGUAAAGUCAAUCAAACAAUACAGGAAUUAAGUUUUGUUUUGUUUUUUUUUUUUACUUCAGUGGCUGUCAUCUCAGCCUGUCUUUCUCCAAAUCAUUCAUUUGCGUGGGCAGAGUGGGACUUGUCACUGCUUGUCUCCCAGACUGCAUGCUGACUGGCUCAUAGCAAGGGGUUGGCCUGGCCCAUGACUGCCAUUGGUUCACAGGAAGUGGUUGGCCCAGUCCACAACUGCUGCUGGCUCACGGGAAAGGAUUGGCCUGGCCCACCACCAUUACUGGUUCACUGGAAGGGUUAGCUUCUUUUUGGCUCUCUUCCCAGGAUGCAUGGCUGCUGUUGGAUCACAGGAAAUGGUUGGCCUUGUACACAACCACUGCAGGCUCACAGGAAAGGCGUGGCUUCUUCUUGGUUCUAUUCAUUGGAUGCAUGGCCACUGCUGGCUUACAGCAAGGGGUUGUCCCAGCCCACAACUGCUGCUGGCUUACAGCAAGGGGUUGACCCAGCCCAUGAUUGCUCCCAGCUCACAGGAAGGCGUUGACUUCUUCUUGGUUCUCUUGCUGGUACACACGGCUGCUACUGGCUUACAAGAAGGAGUUGGCUCAGUCCACUACUCUCACCGGCUCACAGUAAUUAGUUAGCUUCUUCUUGGUUCUCUUUCUGGGGUGUAUGGCCACCACUGGCUCACAAGAAGAGAUUGAUGCAGCCCACCACUGCUACUGGCUCACAGAAAGGGGGUGGCUUCUUUUUGGUUGGUUCUCUUCCUGGGACCCUAAGUAGAUUCAUGGGUAUAUAAACACUGCUAUAACUAUCCAAGUGUUCUUGUCAUGUAAUCUUUUCUCAAGUCAUUUUAUAAGAAAUACAUUAACAAGAAGUUAGAGUUGGCUACUUGCAAAAUUAACAUCAUUGUCCUAGAAUUUUAAUAUGUAAGAAAUAUAGUAAAAUUUCCAUUGUUCUUCUGGAGCUGCUAUUAAAAGGACCUGUUGACAUUUCAUUCCCUGGGGAGACCUGUCAAGCAUUUCUGUCUCAUUAUCUCCUAGAGUUUUCCUGAUGAAAAAAAGUCUAUGGACUUUAACAUUUACCCUCUCCCAUCCCUUCUCAAGAGUUCUUAAAUUAAAAACAAGUGUAGACUCAGUCUUUGGAUAAAAGUGUUUCUUCCUUUUUAUUGCCCUCACUUUUUUUUUUUUUUUUUUUGGUUCUAUUAAAAGAUUUUCUCCUAAAGUCAAGGGAAUUUUUAAGCACUGUUUUAGAGAUAAAUCUAAGAGUCUCAAUUUCUGUGUUUUAGUGUUAAAUAAAAUGAACUUAUUUGCCAUUUGCCCUUUUCUCAGCAGGGAAAUCAUUAUUCAGAUGACUGAAAGCUACACCCUCUCACCUCAAUUUAUAGAUAUUUUGGAACCUCUUUCAGCAUCUCUACAGGAGCAAUUAAAGCAGUAAAGGAAUUUGCAUACUUAAUUUGUCAUAAGUGUGAAGUAAAGCCACCUAAGAAACUAAGAAGUUUCUCAUCAUUCUAUUACUAUCACUUCAUUCCACAUGAAUCAUUUAACCAGAACAAAACUAGUCUCAUCCACUGGAUGCUGGGGAGAGUGUUACAUGAGGCAGAAGAGAGUAUUCAGAGAGGUAUCAUCAGCCAAGCAGCAGGCAGCAAGUUAAUAGUUAGGAGACGAGGUCUAGCAAAAAUGUUAAAGUUCUUCAGAAACUACCCUGCCCUAGGGAGGGGAAAUGCAGGCAUAUAAAUUUUUGGAUCACCAAUUUUGGUCUCUUAGAGGCAAGAAAGUCUGUCAUAGCACAGUGUUGAGUUGCUGUUCAAGGAUUCAAGAGGCUACUGUAAUUUGGAUCCUGAAUGUCCCUGUAAAGCAUAUGUUUUGAAGGCUUGGUCACCAGCCUAUACUAUUGGGAGGUGACAGGAAAACCUUGAAGUGGUUGAUUUUGGUGGAAGGAAGUUAGGGACUGACACAUGCCCUUGCAACUCGUAUUGGGGUCCAAAGCAACAAGGCAAAGUGAACAUGAAUCAAAACCUCUGAAGUCAUGAGGCAAAAUAAACCUUUCCUCAUUUUAAACUGAAUAUUUCAUGUAGUCUGUAACAGUAAUAGAAAGCUAACUAACACAGGAGGAGACUGAAAUUUCAAAUAGGUCUUCAGAAGCCACGUUAUGUUGUCUUUUAACCAACUGUCAGAGGAUGGGAGAAAUCAGGGCUUAUUUUAAUCUAGUCUGAUUUUAUUAUUCAGAGUAUUUCUGUUUUUUUUUUUUUCUUUUUCCUUUUUAUUGGUACCGGGGAUCAAACUCACAACUGCCUGCUUGCAAGGCAAGCGCUUAUGCCGCUGAGCUAAAUUCCCAGUCCCUCAGAGUCCCUCUUAAUUGUCCAGUCCCUCUUAAUUGUGAUCCACAGGAUGCAGAAUUUUAAGUGGAGUUUUUGACCAGAAAAAAUAUUUAAAUGCUGUAGGUACAGACAUUCUUUCCAAGCUAUAUGCCUGCCAUCCAAGCACUUGUGAAACUGAGGCAAUAGGAUUGUUGUGAGUUUUAGGACAGCCUGUGACACAUAGUGAGUUCAAGGACAGCCUGAACCACUACCAAGAUCCUGUCUCAAAAAAAAAAAAAUAAAUAAAUAAAUAAAAUAAAACAGAACGACAGUAAUACAAUGAUAAUAAAAACAAGAUGACAGUGAUGUGACAAGGUUAGACUGUGUUGAGGGUUUAAAGGUAUGGAAUGGUUGCUGAGGGAAGAGGAAAUCUUACUUCUAAGUUGCAAUUAAAACUGGGAUAGAUGAAGACCACUGAAAUCCUCAUAUCAUACAGUGGCUAGAUACGGUCCCUCACUUCCAGUGAAUUCUUAGUCCUUGAAUUCAAGCCUUUGCAGUUGUGUUACCCUAGACUUAGCAGAGAAGGCAAGAAUUAAAUAAAUUAUACAAUCUGAUUUCUCCCCAAAAUAAACUCUGGAAUUCAAUAGACUAUAAUAGAAAGGAUUUUGUACAUUCUAUUAGCUUUAAAAAAAUCUCGUCAGAAAAAUAAUGGUGCUAUAAUUUUUCUGGAAGCUUUCCUUUUUGGUCUUUAUAUCUAUAAUCAUUUCAAGUCAACAAAUACUAUAUUAAAUAUCCUUUGUGUGCCCCAGUAUUAUAUUAAAUGUUUUGAGCAAAGCCAAAUAAGAAUACUUAACUCUUGCUAUUUCCCAUUCAUCGAGCAUUAAUUUUGCCAAACAUAUACUCUUUUUUUAAUGAAUAUGUCUUACUUAAUUCUCACAACAAUUAUUCAAGAUGUUGAAUCCAGUUACUACUGCUGUUUACUACUGUUAUACAACAUAUAACCCAAAAUCUUAGGAACUUAAAAUGACCAUUUGAUAAUUCUUCUGUGUGUCAAGAAUUCAGGCAGAGCACAAAGGGAAUGGUCUGUGCAUGAUUCAGGAACUAAGGCCUCAGCUGUGACAAUUUAAGAGCUGGAGGGCUAGAAUUACCUGGAGGUGUCCUUACCUAUCUAGCAGCUGACACAAGUCAUAGGCAAAGGGUGUUCCUGGAACACCAACAUUUGGCUUUUCCAUGGCACCUGAGCGUCCUUAUAGCAUGGUGGCCUCAGGAUCUCCAACAGCAAGUAUUCUAACUUAUGAAGAUGAAGCUUCACUGACUUUUAUAAAUAGCUUCCAAGUCUUACAGCAUUAUUUGCAAUGCAUUUCAUUUGCUACAAUUGAAUAGCAAAUCCAACUUAAACUCAUAGAGUACAUAGAUCCAUGGCUUGAAAGGGAGUGUCAGAAAAUUUAUAGCCAUGCAUUAAAACAGUCAUAGUUGAAGCAAGCCUAGUCUGAGAACCAGCACCAUGAAUAGCCCCCACUCAACUGGGAACAGCCAGCCCCCAAUCCCUUCUGGUGUGCAGGUUGGCAAACAAGAAAUACCAAUCCCUACCCUCCCACUCCCUCGUAAGUGAUCAGCUUAUCCUGAGAAACACAGGCUAGGAUGAUAGCUUUGGAGGUAAAAUGCAAUAGGAUGCCUGUGGUGCUUUGUUGUUUCACUUACGUUGCAGGUCUAUGGCCAGUGGUCUGAUCAUAGGAUCAGAGGAUAGCGGUACACAGUGUGACAUCUAGGGGGAUCUCCUGAGGGUUGCAGCCAUGGUUGAUUCCCUAUGGUCUUGUUUUCGAAGUCCUAUAUUGUUUCCAUUGUUUUGUUGGGCUGGGUUUUGUUUGAUUAUGUUAAAUCUGAUGGCAGGGGAAGCUAUUUCAAGAAUAGCAAAAUAUAUUAUGGUAGCCAUUUUGGAUUUACUGCAUUUGGAGGUCCUUUAUUGCAUUCAUUGUUUUGUUUUUAUUGUUUCUGUUCUAUUCCAUUCUGUUUGAUUUUUACUGUGUUUGAAAUUAUCUGCAGGUAUUUUGAAGAAUCAAAAGGCAUUAUAGUAACUAUUGUUGAUUUUGUAAUGUUUUGAAGUCCUCUAUCUCUUACGCUAGUUUAUUUUGAUUGGCUUUUUCUGUUUUACCCUCUUUAAAAUAAAAAUAAAAAUAAACAGUCAUAGUCUAUCUUCAUACAAAACACACUUGCCUCCUCCGAGGAUCUCUUAACAGUGAUAUCUAUAAAACCAUAAGGCUGGGCCUGAGGUCUAGUAUAUCAUCAUCAAAAGCAAAAAUAUGCAUGAUGAUAGCUGCUCAGAUAUAAUUUUUUAGGUGAGGGUAUUCAAGUGUACUUUCUAUUAAUCUAAAGAGCUAAGAGUUAAAGAAACAAAUUAUCUAUCCCAUACACAUACACCUUACCACUCACCCAAAGGGGAAGUACAUACAGGUUAACUCUAAUAUAUACACUGACCCAGAAAUGUGGAAGUAGAUCAUAGCAUUUCUGAAAUUCAGUAAUGCAUGUCACCAGUUUCUUGAUCAAAGCUCAGUUCUAGUGUUUAGCAGUUUACCUCUGUUGUUUCCAACUGUGCUCACUGAACCCUGUUCUAUCUUUUAAAAUAGCCUUUCUUUCCCACAAUAAUUAGCCCAUAUUUACAAAUGAAUACAUUUCUCAUCCCUAUUUCUUUCCCUAGUGGUCCAAUCCAAAGGCUUCCCUUCAUUUUUCAGUAUUUCUUUUCCUCUUAGUAAAAUCAGACAUGCUUUUGUCAGUACAACUCUUUGUGGAUUUUUCUGAAUCUUACUUGAGUUCAUACCCCUAGAUUGAAACCGUAAUUGUUAGGUGUACUAUUGUAAUCCCAGCUAUUUAGAAAGUUGAGGCAGGAGGAUUGUAAGUCUAAGCCCAGCCUGUAUAACUUAGGCCUUAUCUCAAAACAAAAUAAACAGUGCUGGGGAUAUAGCUCAGUGGUAGGGUGCUUGCCUAGCAUGUGUGAGGCCUUGGAUCCAAUGCCCUAUAUCACAAAAUCACAAAACAAAGCAAAAAACAGAAGUUCUCUUUAAGACAACCCCUAUUUUAUCUUGGAGUCCCUUGGAGUUUCCGAUCCUAGAAGCUCUUUAACAGGUAGAAUCUAUGAUAUGCCUGUAAGAUUCUUAGAAGUUCUUUUGUAUAUUUGAAAAGCUUCUGAGGUGCCACCUUUGAUCUUGCUGAGGUGUUAACAGAUGGUCUUUAUUAUUAAAUCUUUUUUUAGUUUUUAUAUUUUAUUAAUACAGUACAUGUUUAUCACUUAAUGAUUACAUUCCUUAUGGGUAGUUGGUAUAUAUAACAACUCCUCUAUCUCUUAGUCCCUUUCCCAUUUGAACAAAAUGUAUCUUCCUACUUCUUAUUAUCUAUCUUUUUUUCUCUUUACUUAUAUUUUGACUUUCUCAUAUAAGAGAAACCAUGUGAUAUUUAAACUUGUGUGUCUGAUUUAUUUGACUUACCAUUAUGGUCUCAAAGUACAUCCUACCAAUGAUUCAAAUUUAUCCUUCUUUAUGGCAAAAUAGUAUUUGGUAGUACGUAAAUAGCACAUUCUCUUUCUCCAUUUGUUUAUGGACACAUAGGCUGCUUCCAAGUGUCAGCUAUUGAGAAUUAUGGUGCUAUGAGCACGGGUAUGCGUGUAUCACUAUGAUGUGAUGUCUUCCACUCUUUUAGGAAGAUACCUAUAAGAAGACUGGGUCAAAUGGAAUUUCUAGUUUUAUGUUUUUCAGGAACCUCCAUACUGAUUUCCAGAGUGGUUGUACUGUUUACAUUCCCAUCAACAAUAUAGGAGCACUCUUUUUCCUCCCAUAGCCUUAUCACCAUUUGCUAUUUAAUUUCUUGAUGAUGGUUAUUCUUUCCAGAAUAAGAUGACAUCUUGCAGUUGUUUUAAUUUGUAUCUCUCUGAUGGGCAGUGAUGCUGAAUAUUUUUUAUGUAUUAAUUGGCCUUUCUUAACAAAUGAUCCUACAGCUCCCCUUUUAGAUUUGAUCUCUCCUCCAGAACCACUAGUUAGUUUGAAAAUUUUUUGCCACUUGGAGAUACCAGGAACUCAAAAAGUUGUACUUUUGAACCUAGCAACUCUGGGUCCUUGUAGUUCUCAAAAUUUUGCUUAUGAACUAGAAGGUUUGUAUUUUAGUUAAGCCCUCUUCCCUUGUAAUUUAUCAUAGGUAACAUGAAGAAGCCAGAUGGUCCUUUUAAUAUUUCACAAGAAAAUCUGCCUAACUAGGUCACCAAAUUGUUUAGAUGCAUUGCUUAUUUUUUUCUUUAUUACCACAUGGGACAAUAAGACCAAACCUACCAAUAGGUUAUACAAUUUUGAUUUUCUCUAGCUUUGUAGAACAUUUGCUUUUUUUUCUUUAAGUCCUUACCAAAAGUCUCAACUACCAAUGUAAGGCUUACACUAGUAGUCUCAUUAAAUACUGUUUAGUUACAGCUAGACAGUUAUCUCAAUGCCAAUAUCCCAUGCUUUAGAGUUUCAGUGUAGUACCACUGUUACUUCUAGGUAAUAAAUUUCUGUUCUAUUUGUUAUUUCUACAUAGAUGGCUACUACUUAAAUUAGUGGCCUAAAUCAGCCAUUUAUUAUGCUCUUAUUCUUGGGCUCAGGAAUUUGGGUGGUGACGAGUAGAAAUAGUUAAUGUACUCAACUGGGAAGACUUCAUAAGCAUAUGAGACCUUCAAGUUGAGGGCUAGAAUCAUUUGCAGGUGUCUUCACCCACAUGCCUAGCAAGGGAUGCUGCCUGUUGGCUGGGACUUCAGCUGAGGCUUUCUCCUGGAACAACUAACGUGGUCUCUUCAUUCAAUCUGGGCUUUCUUAUAGCAUGGUGGCCUCAGAGUGGCUAGUCUUCUUAAAUGAUCACUGAAGGCUCAAAUGUGACUAACUCAGUGAACAAAGUAAAGGCAAGGCAAACAUUACUUUCAUGACCUAGUCUCAGGAGUUACCAAGGAUCAUCCCUCAUCCAUCCUAUUGGUUACAAAUAAGUCACAAAUAUACCCAGUUUCAAAAGGAAGAUAGAGACACUCUGCCUUCUCAUGGAAGGACUGUCCAUUUGUGCACAUGUUUUAAAGCACUGAGUAUUGUCUUAUUUUGAAGACGUUAAACAAGUAGGCUGAAUCCAAAUCUCUCAAUCAUGAAUGUGUGUUGCUUCCAAAUGGGCUAGAACAUAAAGAAUAAUUACAGAAAGGAAACCAUUUUGUAUUAAAAGAUAAAUUGUUUAAAUUGGACCUGGAAAGAAAUGAUGAAACAAUCAUUCUGGAUGUUAAUAAAAAUUUUAGAUCAUUUUGAUUUGUUGUUAUAAAAUAAAGUGUUCAUAAUCAUCAAUCACUUGGCUUUCUUAAAAUCAACCCAGACUGGGAAAUAUGUUAGGUCAGAAAGAAGGGAAACUAGAGGCAUUUUCUAUAUGCUUUGGAAUGAGUGGAAGGUGAAAACCUUGAUGGUGGUGAGGAAAGGGCUGGGCAUGUCCAGAAUUACAAAGGCCAGUUUGCUUAAGGAGAGGAGGGAGGUAGGUGUGGGGUAAGGUCCUGACUGGAAAGAUGGAGACGGGUUGUGAAGGCUGCAUGCCAUGUGUAGUCAAUUGGGCUUCACCUAACAGAGCCUUAUAAGGUUCCUGAGCAAAAAAGUCAAAUGAUUUCAUCUUUGUUUAAGAUACAUAAUUAUGUAAAUAGUAUGAUUAUGUAAAUUAUAUAGUAAUGUGAACUAAUCUGUAUUUAAGACAGAAUUAAUUUCAAGAUGCUAGUUGGGUUGGAAUGUGGUAAGACUGCAAACAGAGAACUAGAGGAUAAUCAUCUGGCAUGAUGUUAUUUUAUUUCAGAUGCAUUUUUUUAGAGAAGCAUUAAUUUUUUUUCCCUUAGCUUUCUGCUCCUUUAAAAAACCUGACUCUCUGAACUGCAUUCUAUGACUUAUUAAAUUAUUUAUAUGGUUAUACCUUUAUUCUAUAAAAAUUUUUAUAUAGUUUAAAAGUAAUAUGUAAUAUCACAGUAAUUUUUCAAAAGGUCAAGAUCAGACAAAGACAAUUUUUUUUUUCCAAAAAAUUUACCAAAAACUAUUAUGGAACACUAUGACCCUUUGAGUUUCUUUAAUUAGGCUACAAGUUUGAUGCGGAGUAUCCUGGAAGCCAAAGCAAAAAUACAACAAAAAACCAUAAAUUACUAUGAAACUUGUAUCACCCAAAAGACAAAAGAUACGUAAUUUCCCGUGGAGAAGUGGAGUGAUUGCAGUCAUGGGUUUGAAACCAGGUACCACAUAUAAAUCCAAUGCAAGUAGUCAUUUGAUUCUGAUUUGGUAACAAGUGGCAAAUUAGAUACACUGAGAAAAGUCAGGACAGUACUUUGCCUUCAAGACAUGAAGAUGAUCAAAGGAGGCAUCAAGGAAGGAAUUAUAAAGAAAAAGGGUGAAUCUGUCACAGCAGGUCCUGGCCAGGGUACAGUGAGAAGUCAAGAGGGACAUUACAGGGGGUCUCAUCUCACUCUGCACCUCACAGUAAGCCCAUAUUAAAAAUAUGUGGAGCUUCUGUUUUUAAACAUUUUAUUGUAAGACUGCUAUUAGUACAUGUUUACCGUACAUAAUGAUUACAUUUAUCAUAAUGAUUACAUUAUCCAUUUGUACAUGUACAUAAUACAUCUUAAUUUGCUUUUUGCCCUGUUUUUAAACAAUAGGUAUUUCAUAAGAGAUUAUAAAUCUUCUAUUAUGUGCAUAUUUUUAAUCCACACAUAAUAAAAAUGUAACUAUUGAAGAUCCCAUUGCUUUAAUUUAUUGACUUGUAGCAAAGAACCAUAUUGAUGAUAAAAUCCUAACUGCAAAACAGCUUUAGUGUAGAAAUCAUUCCAAGGUCCCUGAAAAGUCAGAAAAUCUGCAGAACCAAGUGUGCUACUGUGCCUAGUCUAUGAAUCUUUGCCAGUCUGAUGUCUGACGUUAAUAUUCCUUCCCUCUCAUUUUUGCCUUUUUCUUUUCACUAAUGAUUCUAUUUUUGAAAUAUAAGUAUUUAAUGCAAAUGGCCAGGAUAAUUUUCAGAGAAACAUACUUAAAGCAAAACAUCUGACAGUCCUGUGCUGGGUGGUAAUGACUCUUGCAUGCGGCAGUCUGAAUCUCCUGAUAGACACAUUUCUCCCAUCAUAAAAGCACCCGAAGCAUUGGUGUAUAAACAAAACCUCAUUUAGUCUUCCUUUUUGGAGCAAGAACAAUUUGACGCCUAAAUUUAUGGCUUAUAUUAAAAGCUCAGGAGUCUGAGAUCCACCAUUUGAAGCAUACUAUCUUUAUUCCCCUCUUUUUCCUAAACCUUCAAAGGAGUACAUUGUUUUUUUCUUAAGCAUCAUUUUCCUAGUACUUAAAGUCCUUUUGGUACCAAAGGUAGAAAAAUUGAAUUUUAUUCACAUUUUCUUGAUUCUACCUCUCAUGUGCAGGAAGUGAUGAUAAAUAGUAAAGGGAGGUGAGAUAACAAAGGAGGUAAAAUCAGUCACAGGUACUAGUUCUAGGCAUGAUCCCAUUGCUGCAUCUCUCUAAAGGGGAGAGGAUCAAGAAUGUUUUAUACGAGUGGUGGGAAGUUUGGUUCUUGGAAACAGGAGCAAUUAUUUUAGCAAUAUUAGACAUUUGACAUAUUCAAAAUAGCUAUAAAAUAGUUAGAAACAUAUUUAGUUAUAGUACACAUUAGUACCCAACCAAAUUUUCGGUGAGUAGCAGAAGAAAUAUUUUGAAGAAAUACCUUAAAGGAGUUAUGGGUAUCCAUUGAAUGGAAUGUACCUUCCUGUAGCAGAAAGAAAACAUCUUAUUCCUCUUUCUGGAUCAAAUAAGACAUCUUCCUGGAAAAGAACUAAAGUGGAGUCUCUGUACACACACACACACACACACACACACACACACACGUGUACCAUAACAGUUAAAGAGAGGAACUUCUACUUGAUCAUUUUCAAAUGAUAUAGAGGUCAGCUCUACAGUGUUCUCACAUGGUGAAGACUGUCACCAUCUGCCCCAUGAUUCUCUUUUCCUCCACUUCUAAAGUUGUAAUGGCUUUUAUGUUUCUCUUCAUUACCAGCAACUCCUAUAUAAACAACGAGGCUAGUGAUGCCCCUGCUUCUGCCUAGGGUUUGAGACAAGAGCUCACGGUCUAAGAUGCUGUGACUUAUUUACGUUAUCCCAUUGAGGUGGUUUCUAGCAGAAGCUGUACUGAUUUCUUGAGAAAUAGUUUGAAAAGAAAGCUUUAGCUCAGAAAUCCAGAGUAAUGGAAGAAUGAUAGAGAACAGAGUUGAUGCACAUAAAAAUGAUUAAAAAUACUUGCCAGUCUUCAUUCUAGCAGGUCAUGGACUGGCAGGACAUUUAUCACCUUAAUACUCCAAAAAGAAGGCUUCACAUGAGAAGAACAGCUUUUGUAUAAGAUUGAUCUGUUGGAAUAAUAGAAAAAGCCCAAAGGGAAGCCUGACAUCUUGAGCUGUAAGAUAAACAAAUCUGUACAAGUCCCCAGUCUGUGUUUAAAUUCUUUGCUUUUUCAAAGGGUAGCUAAAAUAGAAUUCUGUGUGAUGUUGGAAAGAGGGCUAAACAGAAGGCCAGGAGAUCAGAUUCUGCCUUGAGUGUCCUGUGCCUCUUUUUUUGAGUUUGAAUUUUCUCCUUUGUAAAAACAAGAAUAAUGAGUACUGUCAUGAAUCUCAUAGAUCUCUUCCAGGUCUUUUGUUGGCAUUAGGGUAGGAGAUACAGAAAGGACAACUAAACAACACAGAAAGCUGCUGGAUGAGAAUGGAGAAACCAGGACAACUAUCAAAAUAUCAGAAAACCAAUAGAUGUAGGUAACUCUCCCCUAAAGAUCCCCAGGCAUGUGUAAAAGCAAAAGUACGUGACCUUGGUCUGUGCUGAAUCUCUUUGUAUUGUGAUUCUGAGCCCUGCUCCAGUAGACUUUGAACACCAUGACAUUCCUCUAAAAAUCUUGUAUAGUCACCCCUCCAGGAGUGAGCUGAGUCAUGUCUCCGCUCGGCCAUGACAACUGUCAGUCCUCAACUAUAGAUCCUCCCAUAAUAGCAGGCCUCAAGAACCCAGUAUUUGCCCUAUCAGGAUCAUGUACUCUGCACUAUGCUUCCCCCACUCUGUGGAGUGUAAUUCAUUUCUUUAAUAAAUCUUACUUUUCUUACUCCUUUUGAAGUCUGCUAAGUUCUUUUUAUGGAAUACCAAGAAUCUGGAAAUAAUUCCCCUGAAACCUUCCAUCUGAUAUAAGUAUGAAAUAGGGCAAUGUAUAAAGUAACAAUACACAGAAUGCUUAGCACAUAGCAGCUACUGGAAUUAAGUGUAUUUUCUUACUUAAACACUGUGACAGCCUCAUAGGAAUUCUCAUUUUUCUAUAAAUAAGGACACUUAAGUUUAGAGAGGCUGAGAAUUUGUAAAUAAUCAUUGUGUAGCAUUUAGAAUUGGAAGGAUUUAAUGGUCAUUUUGUUCAAUCCCACCAUCUGAGGGAGAUACCGCUCUGCUUUCUUACAUUCCUCCUUUUAUUCUAAGUCACUUGUCUUCACUGUGUACUGGUUCCUUUCCCUUCACCAGUGACUUCAUCAUUGCCUGAAACAGUCCUCUGUCCUGUACUUUAUCCUGCUCUUAAACAUCUUCUAGAGUUGACUCAGACACUGCUGAGGGGAUGUAAUAUUGCAUUCACCUCUGUAUUUCUAGCAUCACCAUAAAUCUAGCCACUGAUUGACAGACAAAUAUUUACUCAGUGAAGGAUCGAAUGCAGGAAAUUGAGGCCCAAAGAAAUGAAGUGAGUGGGCCAAUGCCAUGAGACAAAGUGGGUCUCGAAGCAUCCAAAUCUAUCACUCUUUCUACUACAUCUUUGGGUGUUAACUUCAUUUCUUGUUCAAAAGAAUGGAUUUUGAAAUUGAAUAUUUUAAUCAUAAUCCAUUAAUUAAAACCUCAGUGAUUCCCUAAAUGAGUUAUCCACUGUAAAAAUAGAGUGAUAUUUUGGUUAAGAAAAAAUUAGCCAAGGGGAAAAUUAAGAUGACUAAAAUAAGAUUUGGGACCAAUUAAUGAUAUGAGAGUGAGCAGCUAAAAGCAGUAUUCAGAUAUUAGAGAGAAGGCUCAGGGCUGCUUUAUAUUAAUUUUUGCAGCAUAUGGGGUAUUUUGUGUGAAUCCAUUUUGAAGAGUACGAACUCUACUAUUCAGCUAUGCAAAGUUCAGUAUUUUCUGUCAGGAUACAGCCAUAUUAAACUGAGAGGUGAAAAAAUGCAAGAAUAAAAAAUUAUUAUAUAAAGAGCAGUAUUAAUAAAUUAUGUUCAGGAGAACCUGUAACACAGAGGGAGCAUUAUCAUUUUAGGAUGAAAAUUUUGUUCAUCUUUUAAGAAUUGAGAUAAUUUCAAAAAUGAUGUCACCAUGCCACAGCACUGAUAGAUGGUGUUAUUCAUGUCCCUGGGAUAAUUCAUUUUCUUUUUUGCCAGUUUAGUAUAAAGCAAUCACUAUGCCACCUAGUGUUUAUUAAAAUUCAUUGACAAAUGAUAUACAACAACAUCAAAGGAAAUAUGUCACACUUAGAGUAUGAUUUAUUCUUUCAACUUAGGGCAUGGUAACCUGGAAAAUGAAUCUAGCAUCUCAUUAGAAAUGAGCCAGCUAAGAUAAAUCUGAAGUAGAAAAAAAAGAAAGAAAUGACCAUGUGUAUUUUUAAAACUCUUCCAGGCAGGCAUUUUUAAGCAUCUACAAGAGUAUGAAGGAUAGUAUAACAAAUCUCAAAUUUCAUCACUUGCUUUUUAACAAUUAUCAAUUCAGGGCCAAUUUUGGCCCAUUUACACUCUUCUCUCUAACUAGAUUAUUUUGAGACAAGCUCAUUUUUUAUUGAAGCAAGUCUUAUGAUGUUCUUUGAUCCAGAAACAUAUUAAUAUGCAUCCCUAAAGCAUGAGAACUCUUUUAAAAUACAACCAGAGCAUAAUUAUUAAACCUAACCACAUUAACAAUAAUUUCUUAAUUUUAUCAACCAGUUAAUGCUCAUAUUUGAUUAUUUUAUAAUUUUUAAAAUACCUUAUUUAUUUGAAUUAAGAUCUAAAUAAAGUCAAUAUAUUGCAAUUUGUUCAUGUACCUCUUAAAAUUUCCUUUUAUUCACAGAUUUCCCAUCUUCCAUUUUUUCUUCAUUAUUAGUUACUAAGGACACUGAGAUACUUGUCUAUUAGUUUUCCAUAUUUGAAUCUCUGUAAUCUAUGAUGUAACAUGUUUUUCUUUCUUAUGUUUCCUCUAAACUGGGUAGUGAGCACUUUCCUUAGCAAAGACUUGAUUGAUCAAGUUCAUGGUUUUGUGGGUAAAAGUCUCUAAUGGGUGUCAUGUCUUUUACCAUGAGAUACAUACUGUCUGGUGAUCUCUCUGUACUAUCAACACGGUUAGUAAUGAGUUCCUAACUCUAGAUUUACUUUGUGAAGGUUUGUGAAUAAGGUGGUGUUCUAAUUUGCUCACUUUUUCUUUAUUCAUUAGCUAAAAUGCUUUCAAACUUUCCAUCAAUCAUUGUCACAAGGCAAAAUACGUGCAUGAUUUCAUUUUACCUUAACAGCUUUCAAAAUAAACAGUUAAUUCCCUACCAUGUUCCACAUGUGACCAAUGAAAUUUUUUAGCACUAUUGACUAAUGAAUUGAAACACAUUUGAUAUUUUUCAGUUAACUGUAGUUAUUCCUUUGCUGUUUGAAGGAUUCCAUCUUGACCAUCUGGAGACUGUUCAGUUGAGUUUUUGAGAUCUUUGACAUGAUAUUUUAUAUUUUUAACAUGAUUUCAGCCUAACAUGAUAUUUUAGGCUUAUCUUGUACAUUUCUCACCUUAGACCUGAAAGCAACCAUUUAUACAAGAAGCUGUGGUUACUUGAACACACAAUAGUUUUAUCGUUUACUUUGUGAACACUAAUGGUUCUUAUUACUACCUGAGUUAUUGCUAUUAAACCCUCUUAAGGGACAAAAAUAUUACAUAUGAGACUGAAUACAUGUUUUUCAAUUGUAUUCUUAGUUCAUGUUUAUCUUUUGGUUGAAAUAUUGGUAUAGAAUUUUACUUCUUUAGUUUUUACCUUUUAUCCUCAUGCCAAAAGAUUUAGUUUUCAACAUUUAGAAAAUUCUUCGUAUAAUUUUUUUCAAUAUAUUAUGUAACAGUUUCAGAAUGACAAUACCAAUGCUAUUAAAAUUUGGUUGUGAGAAGCAGUUUAAGAUUUCCUAUUUGUUUUUAAGGAUACAGACCAGAGAAAUGUAUCUUAUAUUACUAUAUUUUAUAGUUACUUGAAAUGAUUCUCCUUUCUGCUUUAUGCCACUAAUUUGAUGAACAGUUAAACGUAUUCAUUUCACUUUGCCUUGAUUUAUAGGAUUACAUUAAAAUAUGUUAUAGUCAUUUAGACUGUACUGUGUCACAUUACAACUAUAUAUGGUCACCCUCAUAUUCGUCAUGAAGUAUCAGUUCUACAUUUAAAUAUAUAUACUCAAUACUUAUUACUAUCUUCAUGUUAUUUAGUUGUCUGAACCAUUUGCUAAUCCAUUCUUUUCAAGGACUCAAGAGAACAAUACUCUCUGAAUUUUUGCAUAAUCAUAAUGAUUUAUGUAUAACUUUAAACUUAAAUGUCUGUUUGCCUAGAUACAAAACCCUUGCUCAUAUUUUCCUAGCAUUUGUGAUAUAUUACUCUGUGAUCUUCUAGAACAAAACGUUACCAUGCCAGUUUAAUUGCCAGUCUUAUUUUCUUCUUAAUGAGUGGUUUAGUCAUUUUUCUUUGAUGUCUAAAGGUUUUAUUUUUCCUCUUGAAGUUCAAUAGAUUUCCUAAAUUGUGACUUAUUUUGGCUGCUUUGUAUUUGUCUUCCAAGUAUUUUCUUUAAAUAUAUAGAUUCAUAUCUUCUAUAUAUUGGGAACAUUUGCCUGAACUCUAGUUUCAGUUCUUGCUUUGAUGAUUUCCUUUGAGAGCUCCUAUUAUAUAAGACGUAUUUUAGUUUGUUGUGUGUGGCUGUAAUGGGAUGCUUAAGAUGGAGUAAUUUUUAGUGAAUAGAAGUAUAUUUGAUCCUGGUUGAGGAGUCUGAGAAGUCUAAGGGCAUGGAAAAUAUCUAGAAAGGGUCUUUUUGCUAGGUCACAACACAGAGAAAGGGAAGCAGAAGUAUGUGUGAAACAGGAAAAUUGAUCUGAAUUUAUCCUUUAUUGGGAGUUCAUUCCCCCAAUAACUCACUCCUGAGGUAAUGGCCCUCAUGCACACUCAUGAGAGAAGGAUCUUUGUGACCUAAUCACCUCCUAAAGAUUUCUUUCUCUUUUUUUUUUGUACUGGCACUGGAGAACCCAGAACCUUCACACUGAGCCCUUUUAAAAUUUUUUAUUUUGAGAUAGGAAGCUCAGUCGCUGAGGUGCUCAGGCUGAACUUGAAUUGUGAUCCUGCUGCUUUAACUUUCCAGACAGGCAUAUGUCACCACUCUUGGCUCGCCUCACCUCUUCUGAAUAUGUUCACAAUGGUGAUUAUAUUUCAUCAUGAAUUUUGAGGGGACUUUAAUCCAUAGCAACAAUUAGUUGUCUGUACUUUCUCUUUAAUCUUUGCCCUUUAAUUUUUUAAAUUUCUACUUUUUAUUUUCCUCCCAGUCUCUUUUCUAUUUUUCUCCUUGUGAUGUUUAUUUGCCCUUAAGCUCGUCUCACCUUAGUCUUCAUUUCUGAAAAUAUGGGAGGACUUUUUGGGUGGGGUCACUUUUAUUUUUUUCUCAAGUUCCAUCAGCCCACUUUUCAAGCUUUCCUUUUGUUCAGUCAUGUCACUUUUUAAUUCUGCCUAACGGCAUGCUUCCAUGGGAGCUUCUGUCAUAUUCUCAAGUUCUCUAAGCUGAUUUGGAAAUAAAAGGCUACGGUUUUUAUUGUUGUAAGAUCAUGUCCUUGUAGUAUGACUUUAUUGUCUGUAGGAAUUUUGUUCUCUGCCCUUAUUGUUUUGUUAGAUAAUUGAUGUGGGAUUCCAUCAGUAAUUGCUGGGUCUCCUGUGCUCACAUAGAGGAGGAGUCCCCUACUCUCUGCUCCUGUUGUGUUCUGCUGGAAUCCAGUGAUUUACAUUUCUGAGACACAUUCCUCUGCUUCCCAUCCCAUUGAGUUCUGGCCCUUUUCUUUCUUGUGCCUUUAGUGUCCUUGAUCUGUUCUGUUUGCAACAAGGCUUGGAAGUUUCUCCUAUGUAUGGAGAACCCAUCUGGCUUUAUGAAAGUGGCUUUGAGUAUUUAAGUUCACAAGUAUCAUUGCUGUGAAUUCCAGUUUUUAGUAUUGUGAACAGUUUUUAAUUUAUAUUUUUUAUUUAGAGAAAAAAAGCAAAACAGAAAAAGGGUAGAAAUAAUACAGAAUUUCAAAAAAAUAACAAUAAACCACAAGUUGAUAAAUUUCAUACUGUUAUCUUAGAAGUAGUUGAAAUUACAAAAUCAAAGCAUAAAAAGCAGGUAGAUAAUUGAACAAUUAAAGUACAGACUAUUCUCUUUAGUAAAUUAAUAAACAGUAGUGUGGUUAUCUAUUUUACGUACUUAAACAUAUAUAGUUGUAUCCUUUAGAGCACUUUCUUUCCCUUUCAUUAUUUCAAUAUCUAUUAUACAUUUUGAAUCUUAUUAAUCUUUCAGUUUCUUUUUAUAAUAGCAAGAUGAUAUGAUAUUUACAAAUGUGAGUUUAAUAUAUUUCACUUUAUGAGGAUAGUCUCAAGUUGCUUCCAUUUACCUAUAAAAGCUUCAAAAUCAUCCUUUUUUUAUAGCCGAGUAAUAUUGUAUAAAAAUACCACAUCUUUUUCAUUUAUUCUGUGGUUGGUGGACAUUUUGGUUGUUUUCAAGGUUUAACUAUUGCAAAUUGUACUGCUAUAAACAUGGGUUGCACGUAUAUUGCUGUGACAUGACCUUUUCAAUUUUUCUGGGAAAAUACCUAGGAGGGGAAUAGCUGGAUUGAAUGGAACUUCCAAUCCUACUCUUCUAAGAAAUCUCCGUACUGAUUUCCACAGUGGCUGCACCAGUCUACGCUCCCACCAAUAGUGGAGAAGUGUUUCUUUUUUCCUGCAGCCUCACCAACAUUUGUUAUCAGUUGAGUUUUUGAUAGCAGCCAUUCUUUCCCAAAUGAGAUAAAAUUUGAAUGCUGUUUUAAUUUGCAUUUCUCGAAUGACCAGUGAUGGUGAACAUUUCUUCAUGUAUUUAUUUGCCAUUUGUAUAUCUUCAUCUGAGAACUGUGUGUUCAUCUCAGCUGCCCAUUUUUGGAGAGGAUCUUUGAAUCUGGGGGGCUUGAUGUUUUUCAAUUCUUUAUAUGUUCUAGAUAUAAGUCAUUAGUCUGAGGGGUUGCUGCCUAAUGUUCUUUCUCAUUCUGUAGGUUUUCUUUUCACUCUGUUGGUGAUUUCUUUUGAAGUGCAAAAACUUUUUAAUAAGAUGAGAUCCCAGUUGUUGAUUUUGGGAAGCAUUUUCCAUGCAGUUUGCAUUUUGUUCUAUGAAUUUUUUGCCUGACUCUGGUCUCCAAGAUUUCUACUUACCUUGUCUUCCAGUUGAUUUAGUGUUUCUGUUUUAAUAUUUAGAUCUUUGAUCCAUUUUCACUUUAGGUUAGUACAUGGUGAUAGACACGAGUGUAGUUUCGAUUUCAGCAUAAUGCUUCUUUAGUUUUUAAAAUACAUUUGGAUCUGAGCAUUCCAAGAGUUUUCAGGUGAUUUGGAGCCGGCAAACACCCUUUGGAGUUUAGGCUGCUCUUGCUAGACUGGCUGAGUGGGCUGAGAGCAGACUCUCAUUGGAAGUGGGCACUUACCACACUGAGAGCUGACUCCCAUCUUGGGAGUGGGUGCCUGUUGGUGAUAUGACUUCCAGGCUGCUAGUUGGAAGCUUUUGUUUUUCUUCUGUUUCCUUUUAUUGCUGUUAAUACAUGCAUAUUUUUGCUGUCAGUGGUUUGAAGUCUCCUGCUCCUGGGAAUACCUUAUCACUCUGGUUGUGUGUGUUGUCUAGUGUUUUUCUGUUUCCCUGUAUCAAUUGUUCCAUCUCUGUUUGUUGAGGGGAUUCGGGGAAGAUUAAAAGACAGUUACUCGUGUUAUCUUUUUGUUUGUGGGAGAUUGUGGAGCAACUGUGGUAAUGCAGAUAUUUUUAAGCAUGUAAAUAAAACCUGAGGUGAACUUUCAUGUUUUUUUUUUUUAAAUGUUACUGUCUUUCUUCUCCAUAAAUAUUGGUCCUGUUUGAAUAUACAAUAAAAAUCAUGGAACAGGAUUUGGAAAAUGUCAAGGAUUUCGAGGCAGAAGGCUAUUUUGUCUGUGUUCAUAACCUUAUGGAAUAAAUUGUUCCAAAUUCCUUUAAAAUAAAUACUGAGAAUUAUAGCCUUUUUUCUUGUGAUAAGCCUCCCAGAAAUUCAAGUUUACCGAAUGUAUGAAUAAGGCAAGAAACACAGCCAGCUGAAUGAAAAUGAAAUGAACUUCUACACUUUCAAGACCUGCCUAUUAUUAGUCUGUUACUAUGCAGUAUGCAACUGCCAACAUCUUACAUAAUGUUUUCUAUUCAAAAUAAUGAAUGACAACAUAUAAUUUCUGAUCACAUGGUACAACAAUUAACUUAUGUAAUUGAUUUUUAAAAACUUUUUUUGUAUCAAAAGACAUGGUUUGUUAUAGGGAGUAAUUAAGUUCAAUUUGCAGCAUACAAAAUCAUUUCUUUUGUCAACUUCUUUUGUGUGUAUAGCCAGUGCUACCUUGAUUGGUAUGUCCAAACCCAGGAUAUGAUUUCAGUCAACCACUCUGCUGUCUCCGCUGGUAUCAUAUUUGACUCUUUCUACUUUUCUUCCCCACUGCUCUUAUAAACGAGCCAUAGCAUGAUGAUUAUUUUAUCUACAAUGUCUCUAAAAUAUUUUCUAUUUCUCUCUUAUAUCCUAGUCAUUGCCAUCUCUUUUGCCUGGACCAUUUUAAUAUACACAUUUCUGUUCCUCCUGCCCAUUCACUGUAUUUUGAAUUUUCAAAGCAUAAAUCUUACUGUAUAAUUUCUUUGCUUAAAACUCUUUAAAGUCUUCUCAUUGCUAUGUGGAUAAAAUCCAAACUCCUUGAUGUGACUUUGAAAAUCCCGACCCUCUACACCAUAUCUAUCUGUUUAGCUUUAUUGUGUUGAACUUUCUUGGCUUCUUUUUUUUAAUAGUUAAAGUUUAUUGCAUUUAUAAUUUCUUCUAUAUAUCAUUCAGUCAUGCAAUUUGUGUCUUAUAAAUUUUAUGUCUAUGCAUCUUAAACUAACCAACACUGUAUAAUUCUUGGUAUAAAUACUUGUCUGAAAUGGAACAAGAAAAAUAACAGAAAGAUAUGUUUAAACUGUUGAUUAUGUUCAGUUAUAUAAUUACUUUAGACAUAAUCUUUAUUUCUUCAUGUUAAUUUAAAUUUUUUUCUAAUGUCUUUACUUCAGGAUAAAAGAGUAUCAUUAAUAUUUCUCUUGUUUUCAAAGAAUAUCAAUUUUACUGGUACACUUUAGACAUACACAACAGUCACAUUCAUCAAAGGGAAUUUGGACCUAUAUGUGAUGUAACUUGAUUCCUUUUUCCCAUCCUCCUACCCUCCUUCAACCCCUCUUCUCUUCCUUAUUUACAAAAGGUUUUUUCCAUUUUUUCCUUAUUUUCUCAUUUUAAAAAUUUUCCCUUUCAUCCUUCCUUUCCCCAUUCCCCCAGCCUUGUUCCCCUCCCCAUUUGAACAUUUCUUUCAUAUUUCACAAUAUCUGUUGCACAUUUUGGCUCUUAAACUUUUGGUUUCUCACACCAGAGAAACAAUGUAAUAUUUACACACGUGUAUCCAAUUUAUUUCACUUAAGAGUAUGUUCUCAAGGUGCAUCCAUUUACUUAGAAAUAUACCCUCCAUGAUGGCAGACUAGUUCUAUAUUAAAAAGGUACAUCUUUAUCCAUUCACAAGUUGAUGGGAUUUGGGCUGUUUGUAAUACUUGACAAUUAAAAACUGUGCUACUAUACAUGGAUGUGCAUAGAUUGCUGUGGUAUGAUGUUUUUAUUUUAUUUUUAAACUUUUUAGUAUUGGUAUCAAACUUUACUUAUUUUUUAUUUUAAAGAGAAUAAAAUCAAGCAAAAUAAAACAGAAUAAAGCCAAUCAAAACAAGCCAAUGUAAGUGAAACAGGACUUUGAGACAAUAGGAAACCAACAAUGGUUAUCAUAAUGCCUCUUGUUGUUUUCAAAAUAGAAGCCCAUACUUUCAGACAUAGUAAAAUUCAAACAAAACAGAAAAUGAUAGAACCAAUAAAACAAAACAAUGAGUGCAAUAAAGGACUUCAAAACAAGAUAAUAGUAAAUCCAAAAUGGCUGUCAUUAUUUAUCUUGUUGUAUUUGAAACAGCUGCCCAUGCCGUUGGAUAUAAUAAAAUCAAACAAAACAAAACAGAAUAAAACCCAACCCAAUAAGACAAUGAAAAUGACACAAGCUUUAAAACAAGCUAACAGGUAAUUAACAAUGGCUACCACCUUCAGAACGAGAUUCUCCACAGAUGCUACAUUGUGUAUUGUUAUCCUAUCAGUAAAUAAUCAUACCACUGGCUUUAGACCUACCUGUAAAGCCAGUGAAACACUAACCACUACAAGCAUUAACCCUCAGUAGCUAUCACUGUAGCCUGUGUUUCUCCAGAUAAGCAAGUCACAUACAACAGGGUAGGAGGGUUGGCUUUUCUUGUUUCCCAGCCUGUGUGCAGGAAGGGGCUGGCAUCUGGCUGUCCCAAAGUGGCCCACAAUAGUACCAAUUCACAGGGAGAGCUUGCUUCUUGUUGAAUUCUUGUUCUUUUUGCCUGCAGCCUGUGAAUUUUGGGUAUGAUGUUUUUAAUUCUUUUGGGAAGAUACCCAGAAGGGGAAUCGCUAGGUCAAAUGGAAUCUCUCAUUUUUAUUUUUUGAGGAAUCUCCACACUGAUUCCCACAGUGGUUGUGCCAGUCUACACUCCCACCAACAGUGGAGAAGGGUUCCUUUUUCCCCACUGCCUGCCAGCAUUUGUUGUUGGUAGAUUUCUUAAUAACAGCCAGUCAGUCUGGGAUAAGGCAGAAUCUCAGAGUUGUUUUAAUUUACAUUUUGCAAAUGACCAAUGAUGUUGAAUUUUUUUCAUGCAUUUAUUUGCAAAUUCUAUUUUUUCAUCUGAGAAGUAUAUAUUCAUUACAAAUGUCCAUUUUUGAAAUGGAUCUUUAAUUUUGGGGACUCUGAUUUUUUUUUGAGUUCUUUAUAUAUUCUAGGUAUUAAUUGUCUGAGGAUGGAGAAUAGCUGGCAAAUGUUUUUAAAAAUGUUCUUGAUUUUAAAGAGAAUAGAACAAAACAAAACAAAACAGAACAGAACAAAACACAUCAGAACAAAACAAUGCAAGCAACACAGGAUUUCAAAACAAAAUAACAGGAAAUCAACAAUGGCUACCAUAAUCUCUCUUGUUUUCUUCAAAAUAGUCCAGAUCUUCACACACAAUGAAUUUAAACAAGAAAGAAUAGUAUAAAACCAACCAAAAAAAAAAAAAAAAAAGAAUGAAAGCGUUACAGGCCUUCAAAAUCAGACAAUAGGAAAAUCAACAAUGGCUACCAUAAUGUUUCCUGUUUUCUUCAAUAUAGCUGUCCAUACCGUCAUACAAAUUGAAAUAAAAUAAUACAAAACAGACUAAAACCAAUCAAAACAAAGAAUAAAAGCAUUACUUGACUUCACAACAAGAAGAUAGGAAAUCAGCAAUAGUUACCAAAAUGUCUUGUUUUUUUCAAAGUAGCUGUUCAUAUCAUCACAUGUAAUAAAAUCAAUUCCUACAAACUCUUUAGGAGAAGUUCUAGGCAUGUAUAAGCCUAUACAUGCACAUCUAUCUUUUCUGUAUUAGAGGAAAAAACAAAACCAAAACAAUACAAAUUAUGAGAAAAACAAGAAACAAAAGAGACAAACAAAUAGCAAAGACAAAGAGCCCCAAACAAUGACAAUGUAGGUCCUCAAAACAAGGGGGUAUGAACAUAACUAAGGUUGUUAUUUUGCAUAGCUAUUUUCAAAAGAGUUGCUCAGAUUACCAGAUAUACACAUGCAAAAUUGAUCCAGUCCUAUGACUGUCAGCUGUUUUGUUCUAAGAACUAAUAGAAUUAGUAGCACAAUUCUCUUAGCUACCUUAAGUGUGUACAUACAAAUAUAUAUUUUUUUCUUUUCCCAUCUUUCUUUUCUUUUUCCUUGAGUUACUUUUUCCCCUUUGAACAGUUUCUUAUCCUUUCAUAAUACUUAUUUAACAUUGAUGUUCAUAACUUAUAUGUAUUGAUUUAUCCUUGUCAUGUUAUUUUCCUAUUGUUAGCUCCCUUCUUUCCACUCUGUUUACUUGUUUGCCUUGCAUGGUACAUUCAGUCUAUUAGAGUUCAUGUAAUUGUAGUCCUUGUUAUCUCUUUCUAGAAUGUCUUUCAGAACAUUGUGAGGUGUUGGUUUGGUGAUCAUAAAUAUCCUUAUGUAUUCUUUGUCAUAGAAAUAUCUUAUUUCUCCAUCAAUUCUGAAAGAUGGUUUCAUGGGAUCCAUCAGUCUGGGUUGGAGUAAGUUGUCUUUUUGGAUUUGAAAUACUUCACUUCAAAUUUUCCUUGACUUGAGAGUUUGUGUUGAGAAGUCAUUGGUGAUUCUGAUGGGCUGUCCAUUUUAUAGGUGAUUUGUUUCUUUCUCUAAUAGCUUUUAAUAUUCUGUUCUUGUGUUGAAUUUCUGGAAUCUUAUACUAUAUACCUCAGUGUAGAUUUUUUUAAAAUCAUGGCUAAUUUGAGGUCUAUAUGCCUCAUUUGUUUGUAUUCUUUUUUUUCUUCCAGGCAAGUUUUCUAUCAUGCAUCUGUGAACAGAUUUUUUAAAAAUGUUAUUUUAACUAUCUCCUACUUUUUCAUUUAUUCUGAUCAAUAUUAUGUUAUACUUCUUUGCAUCAUCUAGCAGCUGCUGGAUUUUCUUCUCAAGGUCCCUUGCUAUUUUUAGGAAAUCCUUCUUUUCAUGACCACUAACCAUAAUCCUGUCUUAUAUAUCUGAGAUUCUGUACUCACACUGACUCAUCCUGUAGUAUAUAUUUUCAGUGGUUUUUUUUUCUUUGUUUGUUUUGUUUUGUUCUCCUGGAUCUAUUAGAAUCUGUUUCAUGGAUUUCCUUUUUUUCAUAUGUUGGGCAUGCAUAAAUUCCAUAAUUUUCCUAAGCUUGUAUUUUUUUUAUCUGUAUCUGCUCUAGAGUCACUAAUCUGUCUUUUAUUGUGGUUACCAUCUCUGUAGUUAUCUGAGAAAUUAUUUCUGAUUUGAUUUUUUCUAUAACCUUGUUCAUUUGACUUGUUAUUUCUGCUGUUACCAUUUCAGCAAGGUCAGGUGGGUGACUUUCCAAUUGUUCCACCUCAUUGCCCCCUGGAUUUGCCUUUGGUGAACUGGAUGUCUGGAGUUGCAUCUUAUUUAAGUGUCUUCUCAUUUUCUUUUUCAUUUUUUAAUUUAAUUCCUGGGUUGAUAUUUGUAAAUUGCUUAUGGUGAGUAACUUUACUGCUAGUAUUUAGAAUACUUCAGAAAUGACUACUUUUCACAGGUUUCUUCCAGGUGGAGUUGGCUUUUGGAUUUUGAGUCUGUAGCAAUAUCCCACCUUUUCUAUUCAUGGGGGAUGAGAAGUUGCUGCCUACUUGGCCCAGGCUGUGGUUCUGGCCUAUAUUAGUUUUUAUAACCCUUAACAAUCUUAGUCUUGGUAUACCAGGAAGAACAACUGGUUAGAACAACCAUGUCUCUUUGAUCAAUAUAAUCCAAUUAGGAAUAACAAAUGUACCAAAUAGAAACUAGAAAAUGACAAACUGAGGUAACUAAUAAUUUCCACCUUUAAUCAUAUGAAUUGCAUUUGGGGCUUUACAACAAACUUUAAAAUAAGUCUUUAAUAUUCCUAUUUUACCCUCACGGGAGAAAAGUUAAAAUGCUUUGGAGGGAUAGAUAAAUAGAAUAAGAAAAAGAAAGGCUGGAAGACAAGAAAAGAUAAUGCAAACUUUGGGAAACUGGUGCCAAAGAUAGGAAGGAAAGAAAGAAGAAAGAAUUUAAAAGAAUAACAGAAGAGAGCAAUGACCACAAAAACACUAUAAACUAUUUACACAAUCAUAUAAAACCAAGAAAAGUAAUGAAGAAAACAUAAAACAAAAAAGUGAGAGAGAAUAAACAAGCAAGAGAAAGAGAGAGACAGAGAGAGAGAGAGAGAGAGAGAGAGACAGAGACAGAGACAGAGACAGACAGAGAAAGACAGAGAGAGAGAAGCCAAAGAAAUUCCGCUUCAAGGUGUGUCUUUGCUGUCACUGGUGGAUAAUAUGAGCAGAACCCUGAUCUGUGAUGAUUAAUCCUAGCAAACCAGCAGUAGUUUUCUGGCAGAGCAGUGGAGAAUCUCAGUGAGCAUGUACCUUUAUUUUCCCUGAAGUUCAGGGUGAUUUCCGGCUGCGAGACUGGAACAAGACCCAUUCAACUUGCAGCAGUCAAUGCCCCUUCUGUGGGCUUUAACUCAGCUGGAGACCAUUAGAUGAGGCCAGUAGUUGUUCUGAGCUUGAAGCUCAGUUGGUUCCUCUCCAAAAUGUCUUCUAGCCAAUCACCUUCUCCUGUGGGAUGUCUGAUGCUGAAGUAUUCACCACCGGCCAAUGCAGUCCUCCACAUCCACUGCUCCCUUUCACUCUUGUGUCUCUCUGUGGAGGUGUCUGGCAUAGUCAGCAGUCACACGUGACCAUGUGACCAUGUGACCGUGUGACCAUGCAGGUGUGAACUGCCCCUCCCAUGCAGUGAGUCUGGGCUCAGGGAGAAGAUUCUGCCUGCCACUUUCUUCUUCUUCUUCAUUGAAAUUUCUCUUUGUGCUCUCCUUGUGGACUUCAAUUCUUGCUUUUGAUUCUUCCUGGGUCCAGAGGAACCAUUUCCCUCUUCUUCUCUUCGUGUCUUCCUCACUUUGCUACAUCCCAGUGUCUAUAUACCAAAUCUUGGGGAGGCUCUUUCUCUGUUGUUCACUCAUCAUCUUCCCAGAUCCCCUUCCUUGGCCUUUUUUUGGGGGUGGUGGUAUUGGGGAUCAAACUCACAAUCUUGCGCUUGCCAGGCAGAUGCUUAUGCCACUGAGCUAAAUCCCUGGCUCCUUAGCUUCUGAACCAUUCCUUUAUAGUCUGUUCUCUGUCUGUCUCUGUCUCUCUCUGUCUCUUUUUGUCUCUCUGUCCCUCUGUCUCUCUCUCUCAUCUAUCUGCAAACACACAUGUUUCCUAUUGGUUCACUUUCUCUUAAGAACUAUGACUACUCUAAUAUUUUAAGGUAUAAAAAUUAAUGCAAAAAUAUCUAUAAUAAACAAAAUACCAACACUUUAAAUAAACUCAAAAGCAGUCACAAUGCUAUACUAGACAUAUUGGAGCCUAUGACAAAAGGAAACCAAUCAGCCACAACAUUCUUGUCUUUAUUUAAAAAUGUAUUAUUUGCCCAUCUUGGAGCUCUUUGCAUUGAUUCUUAUUUAUUAAAAUAUCAUAUGAAGGGCUGGGAGUUUAGUUCAGUGGUGUAAAUGCCUUCCUGGCAAGCACUAAGUCAUGAAUUCAACCCCUGGUACCAAAAAAAAAAAAAAAAAAAAAACAUAAGAAAAUAUCAGUUCUCUAGAACAAUAUUUUAGAAUAUCAUCAAAUUUUAUGAUUGAGGUAAACGUCUCAUUUGUCUCACUUUGUCCUACCCAGUGUGGUCCCUUAGACCUCUCCUCCUCUCUUCCCAUACCUGCCUUCGUGGUAGCAUGAUCAACAGAGCAACAGAUUCUCUCUGCUCCUGCCUCCAAGAGUCCUGUGAGGGAAAUGGGAGUCUUUCCCAGUAGCUCAAGUCAGUAUUGGCUGAAUUCAGUUCACUUUCUUCUGUCUAGAAUUCCCGUGCACUGCUAUGUCCCUUUGAUAUCUGACCAUGACCGUUGCCCCCUUAGUAUCCAAACUGGAUGACUUAGAAAGCUGUACUUUCUUUCAUGCUCAUCCAUAAAUUCUACCAACACAAGACAAACGUCCUCAGACAAGUUUUAUAGAGGACUUCAAACAAUGGAAGAGGGCAGCACACCACACAUGGAAACUGAGAAAUGAAGCGUAGAUGUCACUUUGGUAGGCAUUUUUUCUUUGUUUCUUAUUCUCAGUCAAAGUAUUGCUAACGUGGUGCAUAGUACACCUCCUAAAAGUUUACCAAUCUGGCAACUGGUUUUGAACUGGAAACAAUUGAGAAAAACAAAAACUCUUUGUUUUGCCCCACUGUGUCAGUCUGUUCUCAGUCACUGUUACAAAACAUUUGAAAUAAUCAUCUUAUAAGGAGAAGAGAUUUAUUUUGGCUUAUGGGUUCAGAGGUUAUAGUCCUUGGUUGCUUGGCCCCAUCCUUUGGGGGCUAUUGUGAGGUAAAAUAUCAUGGUGAAGAGGGCUCAUUGGAAGAAAUUUGCUCAAUUCAUGCAUCCAGGGAGAAGAAAUGUAAGUGAGGUUGCCGGGGUCCCAGUAUCCUCUUUGAGUUACACUUCCCAUAACUUCAUUUCCUUCUGCUAGGCCCUGCCUCCUGAAGGUUCCCAGUAGACCAAACAUUUAGCACAUGACUUGUAGGGAACAAUGCAAGACAUUUCAGACCCAAUUCAUAACACUCAUCUACAAGGAAAGGCAUUUGCAUCUUUUAGAGUCUAUCAGUGCAGGAGACAACACUAGAGGAGUUGGAGCUAACACUCUCCAAACACCCUUAUUUUCCAUUAGUUCUCCAUAUAUUUAUCUUCUAGAGUUUGUUGUCCAAAAAAGCGUGAAGUCUCUUUCUUUGUCUUCACUUCUCUACUAAAUUAUGGUUCUUUGUUAAGAUAUCAUAGAAGUGCAAAAUCUAUUCAUGAGUCACUUAUCACCGAGCUCUCUGUGUGUAUGCACAAUGAAUGCAUUCAUAAAUUUUCGUUUGUUUUUCUCUUGUUAAUCUACCUUUUGUCUGUUGGGUCUGCAGGAAUCCAGCCCAUGAUGAGUAGAAGAAAAAAAAAUUUUCACCACCUUCACUCUAGUUCUGUCUCCUAAACUCCCAUUAGAAGACACAGAUUCCAUUUUUGCCCUUUAAUUUAGCAAAACAACUGAAUGUUUUUUUCUAAUUUCUCUUUUUUAUCACUUGACUAAUUUCUAACCAAAAUGUUCAUCAAGAUAGAUUUUUCCAAAUUAAAUGCCAUUUUCCAUUAAAAUGAAAGGAUAAAUAUUUUUCUUGCUUAAAAAAAGCAAAGUUUACCCAUCAUUUCUUCAAACCACUGAUUUUUCUGCUUAUAGAUUUGGUAUUUGCUAAUGGUUUACUGUUUGCUAGCAACUACACUAGACACUUUUCAGACUUUUUACGUAUUUUCUAUUUUUUACAAUGCAAUAUAGACAUUGUCUCCAUUUUACCAAUGAGACAUGCAAGGCUUAAUGAAUAGAAUAGUGUAAUAUUUUGUUUAAAAUCAUAUAGUAAGUGGGAGAAAAAAUUUGAAUUUAGAUUUAGCUUUCAGGCAUGAGCAUUUGCCAUGAGACUUGCUGUUUCAUUUAAUUUAGAUCACCUGCCAUUUUCCUCUUUCUUUUCCUCCUUCCUUCCUUUAUCUCUUCCCUUCUCCUCCCCUCCACACCUCUUUUCCUCUGCCAUGCUCCUUUCCUCUCCUUUCCUUUGCCUUCUUUUAUUUCCUCAGUAUUUGCUCUAAACACUAUUAUAAGUGCUGGGAAUACAGCAAUGUGUAAACCAAAUCCUUGUCUCAGAAGUUUACAUUCAAAUUAAGACAUAAGUAGAUACAGGCACUAAUAUAGCAAAUUGUAUGUGAGUUCGGAGUGUGUUUAGUGUAUCAGAUGAUGUCAAGUGCUGAAUCCAGUCCCUGUCCACAACCCCCAGAGGCAAAUGAUGGGGACUAGGGAGUGUAAUGCAGAGAAAAGCUGCACAAGGCACACGUAGCUCAAGAUCCAGUCAUUUGACAUUCACAGUUUAAAUUCUAUCACCUCUCCAUACGCAUCUUUAUUAAGAGAAAGAUGUGUGAUUUGUGUCUUUGUCUCUGUAAUUCUAAAUGUUUUAGGUGAAUAUUUAGGAUAUUGCAAAAUCCUGCUGCCAAAUGCACCCCAAAUUUCUGCAGCACAGCCUUCUGAAGAGAGGCAGUUGAGCUUGCUUACUACCGAGAGCAGGAAGGAAGGGUGCACCCUCCACGGAUGUUCUACAGUGUUUGUGCAGGAAAGGUGAGGCCAGGCUUUACUGGGAAUUAGAAGCUUGGUUUAAGGAAUGGCUUUCAAAGCAGUUUGAUUAGGUUAAAUAUCAAGUAUAAUAAGUUAGGAUUGGUAACAAUAGCAAAGCAAGAUAUUUGAGGCAAGAGGUUCAAAUGUCUCAAUCAUGAAACCAGCCUAGUGGUACUUUUUUGUGAAGUACAACUAGAUCUUCCAGGAAGCCCGGGAUUGAGCAAUCAAAUCAUUUGGCAAGACAAGAGGAACCUGGAAAAUAAGGCUAAGCUAAUAAAGUCAUGCUAAUAAAGCUAUAAAGAUAGUAGAGUAAUUAAUUUAUGUUAGUGCAGACACUUUGCUUGUGUAAGUAAAUGGAAUGCAUAGUAACCUGAGUUUUAAAAUGUUCAUGUAAUUUUCAUAAAUCAUAAUAUAAAAUAAAUUUUUAAAUUUUUGAAAAGUUAGGUUUGGAAACUGCAAUGUCAUGACUAAAAAAUGAUUGUCAGUUUCAAAUUUGUUUCCUCUAUUAUCUGUUCUGAAAUUUCAGAGAUAUUUUGACAUUUAUUCUUUUUGGCAUCUGGCUCCCAUUAUCUAAAAUAGGACAAAAUUUUUCUUUCUGCCCCAUCUUAAAUCUGUACAGAUGAGUUAUGGGGAAAUGCAUUUUUCUAUCUGCCUAAAUUGGCUGUGAUUCAAGUAGGGGUGAUUCUAGGCCAAUAUAGUUUUCCUUUACAACUUUAUGUUUCACCACCCAAUCACUAGGUAUUUUUUUGUUUCCCCCAUUUUAGACUUGUCCCCAAUUUUGUCCUCAGCUUUCUAUAGAAGUGAUCCUUUUAUCAUGGUGGCAGUGGUUAGAAAGGGAUAAGAAGGUAGGAGGGUAAAGAUUUGUUUGGCAAGUUCCCCAAAAUAUUUUUUAAAAUGCUAUGGCCAAUUUGGAGGAGUGAGCCAUAAUUCACAUAUGGGGGACUGGGCUAUUCAUCCUCUGAUGCGCUCAACUAUAGCACAGCUGUCAGGCUGAGGAAGUUAUAAAUCUUCCUACAAGUUAGUGUUCACAUUUAAUUAAUACUAAUAGGCGAAGCUGUCUCUAAAGGGAGACAAAGCGAUAGAACAAAGUCCCAGAAGCAGAUAAUAAAAGUAGUGUGUGAAAGUUUUAUUUUCUAGCAGUCCAGUCGAAUAGCUAAUACAAUCCUCUGUGGAUAUUUUCCUUAGUUUGUUUCUUAGAAUGGUGCCUCUGUGGUUUGGAUUUGAGAUAUUCUAAUGCUUAAGAGAUCAAAUUUUUUACUUGUUCUUAAAAAAGUUAGGACAACACACUCAGGCCCAUCAUAUUUCUCAUGCAAGAUUUUAUAGCAGGUACUCCCGUUCCUGACAUCCAUCAGUUUAACCACAGUCCCAAACAGUUUGUUUUGGGCAUUGGGCUAUGACAAUGGCCACAGGCUGUGAUUUCUAAAUGGUCCUUGGGCUCAAUCAAAGUCAAGUUGACUCAGCAGCACUGUGUAAUGUAGGUAUUAAUAGCUCUUGGCCUGCUCCACGCUGCACUUUUACGUGUUUAAAGGCAGCUUGAGUGGUGUCCUUCCCUAAAGCCCUUAAGGCAGUCUCUGUGUAGGUAAUGAACAAUCCAUGUAGAUUUCUGAAAAUGCUCACAGUGCACCCAGUACAGUGUUAUUUCAGUUGUUUAAUGUAUAAUGAGCUUCACCAAGGGAUGAUGGCAAAGAAAGUGUGAUUGAACCUUUCUUCCUGAAUGCCUACUGUUCACCUUCAGAAUCAGUGAAGGGGAUGCUUGAUUAGAUAGCCUUCUGGGGAACUCCCAAAUGUUCCUCUUCAUCGGAAAUGAUCUCAUAACUGCUUUGACUUACACAUAGCCAUCUAUCAGGUGUGGAUAAAGUGGCCCAGAAAUGUCCCAUCUGGAUGGAUUUAUCUUCUUCAGACUCCAGUGAAGGUAAUUUCCCUUCUAUCCUUCUUCCAGGACUGAAAGUUUUACUAAUAAUACAGUAGUCACUCCUCAUCCUUACAAGAUUGUUCCUAGACCCUCCAGUGAUUAGACUUAAUUUAUAAAUUAGGUACAAUAAGAGCUUAACAACAAUAUGCAAUAAUAGGAUGAAACAAUUAUAAUGAAUAAAAGACUGUGAUAAAGUUAUAGGAGUUUGAGCUCUCUCAAAUUACCUCAUUCUAUUUACCCUUCUUCACAUGAGUAACUGAAACCAUAAAUAGAAAAACAUGGUAAUGGAGGACCACUGAAUGCUAACGUCUGUAUAAGCUACUUAAAUAAUUGUUUCAUCUAUUUUGACUUCCUCUUAGGGUAAACUGGGAUGAGUUGCUGAUCUUCUCUCCCCAAAUGGCCCUUGGAGAAACUAGAAGCAAGAAGAAAAUGUGGGUCCAAGAAACAAACAUAAAAAAUAUCAUGAAUCUCAUGAAAGUGUGAAUGGCUGUAGUGAACUCCUAGGUGCUGGCCUCAUCUUGUGUGGCCCUUUUUUCCUUCAGCUGUCAGCAUCACAUCUACAUUUCAGCCAGCAGAAAUGAUGACUAAGAAAUCAUAAUAAAAGAAGGUGAAAGACAAGAUCCCUACUAUUUUUUAAAAGCUGUAGUCAAAAGAUGAACACAUCACUUCUACUAAUAGCUCAUUCCCAGAAUGGCCUUGAACUUGUGAUCCUCUUGUCUCAAUCUCCCCUGUGCUGGGAAUAUAGGUAUGUGCCACUUCACCUGGAUGUGACUUAAUUCUACAGGAGUAUAGGUUGAAUUAAAACUCAAAGAUUGUGUAACAAAAUGGAAAAGGAAGGAUUUUGUUUUUUUACCAUCAUUAUAUACUUAAAACCAAAAUUAUUAUCAUUAAGGCAGGAAAAAAAUAAGACACUAACAUCACCACUGCUAAAUAUUCUAGUAAAUGAUAUAUGAAAAAGAAAUGGUGUAUGAUCGAUGGUCAAGAAAAAGAUUGUUUAUUAGUAGACAUGGCACUAUUUACCUCAAAGAAAAAAAAAAUAACUCAAUAUGCAAGCUACUAAAACAAUUGGGAAAAUAUAGCAACAUUUUUGGGCACAUGAUCAAUUUAAGAAACCAAUGAUUUUAUUUUGCUUGCACAAUCAUUUUACUAACCCAUUAUUCUUAUUGUUAAUAGCUAAACUUUACUGUAGAUAUUUUUCUCAAAUACUAAAAUAAAUGUAUGCUUCCAAAACAGUGAUGUAGAAAUUUUCACAUAGGAAGUAUUUUACAAAUAUGUUCAAGAAUUUGGCCAAUCACCAAAUUCUCACAUCAUUUUUUUCACUCAAGCGGUUGGAGGUAGAUGGAUGUCCUACUUCAUGGAGGUGGGAGAAAGUAAUGGAGGGGAGGAGUCCAUGCGGAGCCUGGGGCUCCCUGUGCCCCCCUGCAGAAAGCCCUGAGGGACUCCAAAGAUGCCCUGUUUGCCUUUGCAGGAGGCUGCAGGCCAAGCUCAUUUUCUUAGACUGUAAUGUGUCGGAGGGCAGAUCUGUGGCUGUGACCAGAGGCCCGAGGCUGGUCAUUUACUCAAGCAGGGUUUGUCCCAGGUGUGUGCUGUGUGGCCUUGAGGGGAACCAACCAACCAUCACUGGAUACUCUAAAAAAAACUUGAACCAACAUAAAACUCUCCUCCUUUAUAAUGUGGGUAUUCCCAUGAUGGGAAAUUCCAAUGAUGGGAAUGUUGGGUAUUCCAAUGAUGGGAAAUCUGCUUAAUGCAUACGCCUUCAUUUGCAUUUACCAUAAAAUAAAAUCUAAGAAUUUGAUUGGAUGAAAGAUUCCAGGGAAAAGUUUACAAGUGACAGGAACUGGGAAGUUAUUUGACAAUUAAAUUAAUUAUUUGAUCCCCCAAAUUGACAAGGUAUCAGACCAAAACCUAAAAUACAUAAAGAACUGGGAAUUUCUGCAAAUCAACCACAGAAAGUUAGGACUCUUAAGGUAAAAACAAACAACAACAACAAAAAACAGACUGAGAAUAUUUUUAUGCAACUUACAGAAGAGAACAACCCAAAAUUUAACAAACAGCAAAGAGUUGCCCAAAUUUACCAUUCAUGGGAAUUGUAAGUUAACAUUUCAGUGAAAUAUUUCACAUGCGGUAGCUUGCCAAAAUGAUACGGAUGUAGAGCUCCGCUUCAUGCAUGGCUGGUGUGAGUACAUAUUUACAUAGUCAUCUCGAAGAGUUUUCUGAUCAAAUUAAUUAUGUAUACAUUCUAGAUCCUUGAGUUCUCUGGCUUGUUGUUUCCCAAAGGAAUUUCUAGUGGCACAUACUGGAACAUAGUGGGACACAUUUGUGGAUGUUCACCAUGACAUUGUUUGUGGGAGUUGGGAGCAAUCUGGGUUAGAGGAUAGGUGAAAUGGUGUGUAAAUUCCACUAUAAAAUUUAGAGCAGUGGCCAGAAGCAAUGCACCAUAAGUACACCAGUGCCAAGUAAUUUUCAAGACACAGUUCUAAGUAAUUAAUGUAAGAAGUAUGAUGUCUAUAGUACUGACACCCAAUAUAUGUAAAGCCUUGAGAUACACACAAAAUCUAAAUAAGCAUUUUAUGUGAAUAAACACAUUAAGAGGAUAUUCAUCGAAGAUAUUAGUAAAGUUGCUACAGUUGUGGUGGAAGAAUAGGAGUAGGGAAAGAAAAUAAAGAGAAUAAAUAAAUUAGAGUGAGCACUUAGCACAGACCAUUACUGAAAGCAUUUCUUUGUGUUUCAGUCUUGAAAAUAUCACAAUGGGAUGGUCCAUCAAGGAUCCUGGCCCUGAAGAAACAGGGAUGAGGAUGAAAAGGGAUGGUAUAAGGGCUUUGAUCUGAGACUAGGGGAUGGAUGGGUGAUGGCUAACCUAACAGUGAUUUAUGGGUAAGACCUGGUGAUGAGGGCACUGGAACUCAGUGAGAAUACUGCCUCCCUUCUGCUUGUCCUAAACAAAAUGCAUUAUCUUUAUAAUAAAAAAGAAUCCAAGGCCACACAGGGCCACUUUUUCUUCAUUAAAAGUGGAGACCUAUCAGCUAAGAAACCUAGAAUACAAGAGACGGUGGGAAGGUUUAGUUCCACUCCACCAGGGACUUUCUGGCUCCACAAUUAAUUGGCUGCACCUGGGCUAAUUUCUCCAGGUGUAAUUUGUCUCCACAAGAGACCAGCCUUUAAAACCCUGGGAAGAUCAAAUAUAGCAGGAAAAACAGGAAGUUGAAAGAAAAAACCUCAUUCAAAUUUUAAAACCAUUUGUGAAAAGUUAUUAAAUAAUACAAUGCUGGCACAACGUUGUAUUUGUUUCUUCCAAUUCCCUGUAAAUGCUUUGUGUGUCUAUACUUCUUAAAAUAUUUUAAAACAUCCCUUUUAAAAAAAUCUUUCUAAAUCCUAGCUUUAGGUUUUUUUGAAAACGCUAAUGUAUUUCAUCCUUGGAAAGCUCUAAUAUAUUUUUUCCUAAAGUUACAAUUGCGUUUCUGAUUUUGCUAUGGAAAACAGCCUCAAAUUGAGGGUUACAAACAAAUGAAACAAACUAACAUAAUAAAAAUUAUAGGAGUUAGGCUGCAAUUAGAAGAUCAGUUUAGGAAUUUAACAGCUCUAUAGAACAUCAUCUUAUACAGAGUUCCAAAAAAAGCUAAAAUGUAUAUUAUACUUAGUAUAAAUAAUGGUAGUUGGGGUAGACACAUUUUGAAUUCAGCCAAUGACAGAUCUGUUAAGUUAUGGUUUCAUGGGAAUACUUAGUGCUUACAUUAGGAUUUGAAAAAUGGGUAGACUUUACGGGUAAAAGUUUAUUUAUGGCAGAAAUACCAAUUUGAGUGGAAGUUCAGAAAUGAUCAUAGUAUAGCAUGUUUGGGAAAUGGUGACUGAUCCUAUUUGUUUUGAUAUAAAAUUUGUCAUAACAAGAAAGUAAUGUGACGUAUAUAUAUUAAAUUAUUUCAUCUUCAUAAGCCUGAAGAGAAACUUUUCAAGCAGAGGUACAUAGGUUGGGUCAGGGACAUAUGGCAAUGAUAUAACAGAAGUAGGGAGUGAUCAUGGACGUGUACUGAAGAGGAGGGAGGAAGAGAUGGGAAGAAACUGAAGAUGAAUCUUGAAUCUCUAACCCAAGGGGCUUGACUGCAGCUUGAUGGCAUCAUCCUAUGAAACAGGGAUGCCAUGAGAUUUACUUUGGGGAGGAAUAGAAGAUAAUCAGGAAUUUAAGUGAGAUCCUGGUACAAAAUCAAGGUGAAGCUGUUUCAUAGGCUUCCAGAGAUGGGAAUUUCCAUUCACUGUGGAGGACAAAACUACUGUUCAAAUUUAGAAGUCAUCCAGUGAAAGAGAAAGAGAUCCCUUCCAGGUGUGGGAACUGUUUCCAGAGAAUUGCGGGAGGAGGAAGGAUUGAGGACUACUGUAGGAGGAAAUUCUUGUGUUUUUUCAAUGGGCAUGAUAACUCUCAAAUCCUGAAACGGAAGGCAUGCAACACAGGUUAACAGAUCCUCUAACUGAUUGCCAUGUGACUCACACCGGUUUGGGAUGAGCUAAACCCUCCCGUGUGUGUAGAAGGAUGAUUCUCUUUCUGCCUUCUACCACUUGCUCCUGUGGUGUGGAUGAGUGAGAAUUCAGCUGGUUAUGGGGUACACUUCUUACAGCUGUGGAUCUUCAUCAAGCAAUUAUUUUAUCUCUUCCCAUUUUCCUGUUUGUGAAAGAAUGCUGCAGGUAUUGCUGUCAUCACUUCUAAAAUGGAACCCAUCUUCUUUUUCUCUCCAGUCAAAAUGACACUUUAAUCUGGUUUCUCAGUGAUCAAAAAAAAUUAUUUAUUCUGUAGUUCCAAGUCUAGUGAAUUUCACAGAUAUGCCAUUUCCAAAUUUUAAAAAAAUACAUUUUUAAAAGCUUCAAGAUAAUAGGAACGUUAUUUAUUAUGAUGACACAUCACAAUAAUUCAUAUUUUGCAGGUGAAUUCCUAGUCUAUGUUUAAUAUGCAUUGUUCCAUAUUAUUUAUCCAUUCAUUCUAUACAUGUUUAAUAGCACCUAAGUAACAGUAUGGUUCUGAGUGCUGGGGAUAAUUCUUGCCCUUAGAGGUUUUUAAUUUCCAGAUGAAAGUGAUACAGGAGACAGGUCAAGGUAGGACCUGUCAAUCACAAGAUCCCAGGACAAGCCAGGACCUAUGUGGAACUUCUUGGGAGCUCCCAAGAGAUGUGGAUGACAUAAAGAAGACCAGAUACCAGGAGGAGCCCGCCAGCAUGACUUCCCACACUAGCCUGCACAGCGUUUCUCAGAUGCUGUGUGUUCUCAUGUGUGAUUUCACUCCCGGUUCUCUUUUUCUUCCCCGAGUUUGCUCUGCAGGACUGGUGUGUCCCAUACCCAUUCACCCUGCCCUUUUCAAAUAACAUUUGACGCAGAUUUUGGCUUGUCUCAUCCAAUUCUUUGUUUGAGGCCGGAAGGCCCUGGGAUACCUUUGAUUGAUGAGCCAUUUCCAAAGAAAUUACCUGAUAACAGAAGCACUAGGAGUUUUAAUGUUUAUCCUUAAAUAAAGUGGAUUAUGAAAAACAAAGAGGGGUUCAGAAUGUAGCUAAAUGGUACUGUUUACUUACCAUGUGCAAAGCCCUGUGUGUUUUUUUCCUAGCACCACACACACACACACACACACACACACACAGAAACAAAAUGAAAAAUAAAAUAUUUAAGUUUUUUAAAUGUCUAGAUAAGUAAGACUCAAAUAAGGUUAAUCAGUCAUUCCUGGAUAAAAUAUUAUGGGAGAACUGUUGCAUGUCAUGUUGAUCUGCAUUGAAAUAUCAUAAAUUCUGAAAUACUUUAUUAAAAAUGAGCUGAUGAAAAGAAAAGCAGAGGUAAUUUUCCUUUGCUCAGAUCUUAUUAAGUGGUAUUUGUCCCAGAAUGGAGGAAUUUUCCUUUCCUGUGUUGGAUGACAUCAUCUAUUCAACUGUACUUGAACCUGAUGACCAACUCUAAGAAGGUGAGUUCUUAAAAUGACAACUCUUUUGCAGCCUAUAAUUUUAGAUUUUAUAAUCUUUAGUAUUAAAUUUUAAUUCUCUUGCUGUCUUUGUUUUUAAAUAAAUCUUUAAACAUUUUUUAAAGGAACUGGCCUAUUUCUGUAUCUCUACACUCUCCUCACUGAGGAAUUCUUCUACUGUGUAGCUAUGCAAAAUAAAAAUCUCCAAGUAAAAGUCUUUUAAUUUUAAGCUAUUUUUAUUGAAAAAGUGAUCCCCCAUAAUAAUAUAUUGAGUAUAUUUAAAGCUUUUUUUUUCCAGAAUAAGUUUAAAGUAAUUAGGACAUUAAUAAUUCUUAGGUGGAAUGAAGUUAGUUACAGUUAUUCUUAGGAAAAGAAGUACCUUCUUCCAAGUCAGGAGACACAUGGGGUAAUACGUGAUGGGUACCUAUGGAGAGAGCAGAGCUUCCUGGGUCUACAGCUGCUAAUAACUUGCUUUGGGACUAGGGAAAAAUCAGUUCACUUUUUUCUGGUUGGGCUUUCGCAGCUGGAAAGAAAGGGUAAUUAAAUUUUGUUUGGAUGAGGCAGGAAAGAAAAUUCUAGCUUUCCUCACACAUACUCCAAUAAUCCAAAUGCAAAAUGUGGAAUAGGUUCAAAUGAUCUGAAUAAUUCCCUCAAACUUUUUUUCAUUUGUGUGUAUGCUGGAAACUUACCCAAUCAGAAAGAGUGAUACUUAAAGAAAAACUGUGAAAGAAUAACAAAUGAAAGUGUCUGGUGGGGGGAAAAACAGUGAAAGUAAUUGGCUGAGGAAAGGUUGAAGUUUAGGUCUCUCAGAGAAACCACAAAGAGAAUGCUGAGUUGUCCUUACUCUAUAAUUUCAAAUAACGUAAAUUUGAUUGUAUUUAAAUUUUAGUUACAUAGCUCUACAAUGUUAGAUAUCACUGAAACAUCUUAAUAAAGUUAAUGAGGUGAUAAAAUAGGGAACAGAAUGCCAUCUAGGUCAAACAUGUAAGGUCCAUUAUCAAAGCAGACAAUAUGCACUGGUGUCAUCUUUCUCACCUAGAAAAUCAAUCCAUUAAAAUCAGGUGCCUUUGAACACAGGUGGAAGAUGAGAAUCAUUCAAAUAUGCAAAACAUAAUUAAAAGAACAUUUUCCAAGGGAAAAUUAAUUAAACUGGGUAAACAUAUGGUUAUUUGAGAACUUAAAUGUGAAAUUACCACUUUACAUAUCAUGUGGACACCAAGAGAAUAACAAUUCUUGUUAAUAAUGUAAGUGCAUCAGUACAUUGCAGAGACCUAUGUAUUUGGUGUAGAGCCAUUUCAAGUAUUGAGCAAAGGUAAGCAUAUAAGGAAAUAAGUAUGGAAAUCAUAUAUGAGAUGCCAAAUAGAGGUCUCCUUAACCAUAGUACUUUCAAUGUAAUUCUGCAUCCAUGUCAAUAUAUAAUCAGAUGGAAAAAGUAUAACUAAAAGACAAGGAAUCCACGAUGAAGUAUUUUAUUCAGUAAACAUUUAAAAAACUAUCAGAAUAGUUUGGGCCAAUGCUGUUCAUGUGACUCUAGGUCAAAAAUAUAUCCAAACCUUAAUUUUCCAUCUUCUAACCCAGUGAGGUACAGAAGAAUAUUUAAUUUUGAUGCUGUUUUCUAAUCAUAACAGCACUAUUUGUUAAUUCCAAAUGACUACCUUUGAUUUUGCAUUUGGAUCUCCAGUUUUCCAUAUUUAGGUUUUGUGACAAUUAACUUUCCUUGUGGGUGUUUGAUUUUCUUGAAGUAUGCUUUCCUGAGUUCUCAGGAUUCCUUUUUAAAAACUUAGUUAUGGAGCCAAGAAAUCUAUUUUACCUGGGAAAAGAACUGGUGAAAUGUAUGGCACUCUGAAUAACUUAGUAUCAUUUUUAGGAAAAAAAAGUAAAUAUUUCGUGUACUUUAUGGUAAAUGAAAUGCAUAUAGCAUUUAGAAAAACAGCACAAAUACUUGGGUUCCUGCACGACUGCUUUGGACUGCUUUUGCACUGUAUAUGCUAGAUACUUAGAUCCAUACUGUAUUUCAUGUUUGCUUCUCCUAAGCCAGUGCAGUUUGUAAGUCAUAGAGCUUUCACAUUAUACUAGUUAUUCUAGGUCAAUAAAAUUUUCAUUUCAAAGGGAAGUUUCUUUUACACCAUGUUCAGUUUCUCUCUCUCCAUCUGUCUCUUGUUUUGGAAAUAAAAAAGUGAACCUAAACAUUUUUGUGGAUGGAUAAACAUGCUAUUGAUUUAGGAAGUGGUUGAUGAAAUGGCUUGCUGGGGCUAAGUGUGGGGAAUAAUUGACAGUUCUUCAGCAGGUGAUGGUUAGUGAGUUGGAAAAUCUGCCACACGGAGCUGUUUCCUAAUGUGUGAAAAUGAAUGCUUAUUCCAGAAGUGCUCAAAAAUGCAUUCUGAUUUUCAGAACUAUUAGAUCAAGUUGUACCACCCUCACCUCAGUGUUCUGAAAUGAUCAAAAUAAUUCAUUCAAUGUUUAAUUUUUAUUUUUGCGAUUAUUAAAGGUGAAACAAAUUGCUAUGGAUUGCAUCAUAGUAUCAACUCCACAGAAUAUAGGUUUAAGUUAUCUGAUUCUUAUUUACUAAAUAUACACAGACACCGUUAGCACACACAUGUGGGUAUUCAUGCAAGGACUGGUAAGGAUUAUCACAUAAGAAAGUUCCUAGCUUUUACAUGAGACUGCAGGUGGGGAUUUUGUAUCCACUUACAAUGUGGAAAGGAGCUAGUAUUUACUGGAAAUCUAUUGUACGGUGAAUUUUCUUCACAACAACUUUGUGAGAUAAAUAUUGUUAGACCAUUAAUGAAUUAAUUAGAAUAGUUAAAAUAUGUAACUGAUGUUUACUUAGAAAGAGCAAAAGAAUAUACACACUGGAUGGUAGGAUUAACUCUCCCAAAGUAACCACUGCUAUCGUUUUGGGUAUCCACUGGUUUACUUGAUAAAUACAUGACUUUUUCUUAAAGAGACAAAUGGGUCCUUAUUCUAUGCUUUGUUUCUCACCUGACUUUUGACAUUUAAUAUUGAGAAUGGCAUUUUGACUCUAUUUUAUAAAUGAAGAAACUGAAGUUAGGAGAGUUUAAAUUGAUUUAUCAAUUGGCAGAACUGAGAAUUCAAAUCUUUUAGACUUCAAGUCUCUGGUUCAUUUUGUUUCUUUUUGUUGACACUUAAAAGCAUUGGGUGAUUUUUCAUUUACAUAGAGUGGUAACUGCCACUAAGCCUGGAUGAAUUUACAAAGUACUAGGAAUCUGUCCUCUCUCUUACUUUCCAUUUUUCUAGUACUGGAGAUGGAACCCAGUGGUGCCAUACUGCUGAGCUAUAUCUCAAGCCCUUUUAUUGAUUUAUUUUUUAUACUGAGGUAGAGUCUCACUAAGUUGUCCAUGUUGGACUCAAACUUGCAAUCCUCUGGCCUCAGCCUCCUGAGUGGCUUGAAUUACUACUGGCUCUCUUCUCUCUUCUUGCAUCCUUUGCCUACCUUCUGCAACCCUCUCUCCCAGUCCUAAACUUAGGGUACCUUAACACAGCUCAUAACACUCAACUUCAUCUCUGUCUUCAUUACAGUGCUCUGUCCUUUUUGAUUUCUCCAGAAAUGCUUACUCUGCCCACUUUAUAAUUUUCUCUCCUUUAUAUUCCACAUUCACAAUCAGUAAUUCAUUUUUUUCUAAAGAAAGUAGCUAGAUUUUGGCAAUCUAUGUUAGGAAAGUAUCCUACAGUCAGACAGGUGGAGGACAUUCAAAGACUGCCCCAGGGCACACACUGGGCAUAAGCCUUGGCUGGCCAGUCCUGGCUCCUUUCUAAUCCUUCUUACUAGAAAGAUGAGGUCCUACCCAAGGAUUUUUUUUGACUGAAGAUGGUGUAAAAGUGAUCUCUUGUGGAUGCUCUAAAGAUAGAGGUGUGGAGCUGCCUUCAUUUUUGUUGGGUGAGGAGAUGUUACAGUGGAAAAAAGGAAGUCCACAUGUAACUUGUUCCAGGAAGGCUUUCUGAGGAAUCUGGAGCUGAGAUUUAAAGCACAAGUAGAAUUUAGCCAAAGGAAGUGUGGUGUGGGAGUAAGGAGGUCAUACUGGAGAGGAUUUUAGGCGGAAAAUUCUAAAACCUGAAAAGAACACAUCCUUCCAGCUCACCUGCAGGAGGGCAAGUGUGGCUGGAGUGAGAAGAGGAGGGUAGAGAGAUGAAGGGUGCUCAAAUCCCAAAGCAGCAAGGACUUCCUGUGCUCACAGAUCACUGCAAACGGAAGGCGAGAUGGCAGGAGUUUUAUGAUAUGCCAGUUUAGUGCCCUUGGUUAGGAGCGUGAAUCACUGACAUGAGUGGAAGUGGGACUUUGGGGGAAUAUUUAUUGGUGAGUUCCAGAAACAUCACGAGGGGCUUGGAAUAUAGUUAUCGUCCUGAGGAGGCCAGGUAAAGGCAACAGUCUCCCCGAGACUGCAGCAGACACUGUUCACAGACAUGCACCCCAAAACCACAGGAUCCUCACUGAUGCCACUGUCACCAUGCUGAGUAGCAUUGCAGUUGUCCCUACAGAUUGCUGUUGUUGGAGGUGAUCAGUCACAUUGGGAUCACAGCCUAUAUUUAGCAGCUAGAGAGUUAGAAGCAAACAAUAUCUGCCUCCCAACAAUCAUAAAAUGAGGAAUUCUCCCACAAAAAGCAGAGGAAAGAGGCGUUAGAGUAGUGAGCAGCCUGAAAUAAAAGCAAAUACCUGCUUCUGAUGUUUGUGUUUUAUUUUUAAUUUUGUAAAGUUUAAUCUAAUUGAUGAAUAUAUUUGGAGGUACAAUGUAAUAUUUUGGUAAGCAUAUACGAUAUGGAAUGACCAAGUCAGGCUAACUAGCUAUUCAUCAAGCUAACCAACUACCUAUCCAUCAGGCUAACCUACCCAUCUCCCUACACACAUAUUUCUUUAUGAUAAGAGCAUUUAAAAGGUAUUCCUUUUAACUCUUUCACAAUAUACAAUAGAUUAUAUAGGGCUGGGGAUUGAGCUCUGUGGCACAAGCACCUGCCAGGCAAGCAUAAGGUCAUGAGUUCAAUCCUCAGUACCAAAAAAAAAAAAAAAAUUGAGGAACAAUAUAUUGUAUAAUUACUCAUGUACAUUUGUAUUAUUCUUUCUGCUAUCUGGGGUAUGGAGGGAAAGUGGUGGUGGGGAAGCUGGUUUCAAUAAAGUUAGCUAAGAGGUUGUUGGAAUAAUCCUGACAAGGGAGAUGGUGGUAGCCUGGACUACAGAAAAGACAGAUGGCAGUGUGGAUGGGUAGAAAUAAAUGGACUCAGACUGAGACUUGAGAUAAUUUAUUCACCAGUUGGCUGUGGGGACUGAGGAUUAUGGGGGCGUUCCUGAGGAAAAGUAAGGUGUGAAAGGUAAUAUUCUGUCUUGGCAACUUGUUGGCAGGUGGGACUCUUCAUUUAGAGCACCUAGGAGGAGGAAUGGGGCCUCUAGUAGGUUCAUUUUACCCCUGCUCUGCAAAUGAAGGUGCUCAGAGAGGUUAGACACCCUGUGCAUAGUCGUACACUUAGCCAGAAUACAUACCAGACCCUGUUUGGAUUAAAAAUCUUAUGCUCUUUCUUGCAACACUGUUCUCUGAAUAUCAGAAUAAGAUUGUAGAUGAAUCUAUUAAAAUUUGAGCACUACAUUUUCACAUGUCAUCUUUUCUGAAGAAAUACAUCCAACUAAAACUUUCAAUGGAAAGAAAUAUUUUCAUAGGAAGAUAACUUGCUAGGAUUUUUCAAUCUGUGGCCAAAUCAUUUUUCCACCCUUUAUUCUGCUCUAGAAGACAAAGUUUCUCUUUAUAUUUACUUGUAUCAUUACUGUGACUGUGUCCAGCAUUUUUAAAGGCCAUUGAAAUGUACAGAAGAAAAGCAGCAGUGAGACUAGUUAUAGAAAAUUUCAUGGUAUAUUAUAAACACUUAAGGCUUUACAUUCACUUCUGAGCCAGCACAGGCAGGAGACGCAUCCAGAUAUACCCCUUGCCCCUGCAGGCCACCACUGGAGACCCUUGCUUCCUUUGGGCAGCCAGUGCCCACAGGGAGAAUCACACAGAUACACCCAUGUGCCUGCCACCAUUGGGGGAGUCUUGGUGUAGACACACAGGCUGAAAGAAGAAACAGCCACAUCACUACGCACCCCUGGCUAUUGGGGAGGCCUCAGUGUAGCUGUGUGGGUCUGGAGAAGCUCAAUCCAUGCCCUGAUCCCUUCCUGGGGACCUGGGUUCAAAGAAACAUAGGUUCCUAGCCCAUUUCCCUACACCAAGGAGCAGCCACCAUGUGAAGUGCUUGGGACUCCAUAAUCAGCUUGUUGGGAGGAACUGAGGAGACUUUCAAGAUGAAGGAACAAAAGGCAAUCUCGGAUCUCCAGCCCACACAGAACAAAUCUGGGAGACAUAGUCAAGGAAAAAAAUGGAACCUGAAAUCUCUGAGUGGAUAACAACUGAAGAAACAACUUCAUGAGACUGCAAAAGUAAUCAGAUCAGAAAUGUCUCAGGUGAAAGGAGAAAUCACAAAUAUAAUGAAAGAAUUGCUGAGCAUAUCUAAAGAUAACACAGAUAAAAAAACAGAAGCAUAGGAAAAUGAUGGAAACCUUGCGUGAACCAUAUAAGAAGGAAUUACAAUGCAUCAAGCAGAUUCAAAGAGAUAUCCAGGAAGUUAAAAGUUGAUUGAAAGCUGGCAAAAUUGCUUGAAAGAGACUGAAGAUAGACUUUCAGAUCUUGAAGACAGGAUCACAACUAGUGAUCAUGAAAGGAAAGAUCUUUAAAAAUUGACAAGGAACCAGGAAAUAACAAUUCAACAGCUGCAAGAUGACUUAGAAAAAAAUAAUUUAAGAGUGAUAGGUAUUAGCAAAAAAAGCAGUGUUCAACACAAAUUAAAUAAGAUAUUUACAGAAGUAAUAGAAAAUUUUCCAAACAUGGGAAAAGGAUCUGGCAUACACAUAAUGAAGCAUAUAAAACUCCAACUAGCCAUAACCAAAGUAAAUCUACACCCAGACAUAUAAUAAUCAAGAUCCCAGAAAUUCAGCACAACAACAGAAUAUUAAAUGCUAUUAGAGAAAAUAAACAAAUUACCUAUAAAGGAAAACCAAUCAGAAUCAAGCAAGGCUUCUCAACACAAACCAUCAAGUCAAGAAGAGUUUGGAGUAAAGUGUUUCAAAGAAAGAAAACAACUUCUAACCCACAUUGAUUUACACUGCAAACUAUCUUUCAAAAUUGAUGGAAAAAUAAGAUAUUCCCAAGAUAAAGAACAAUUGAAGGAAUUCAUGAUCAACAACCAAUCCUAUAGAGAGUGCUGGAGGAUACAAGAAAUACAUUUAGCUCUAAAGGAAAUGCAUAGACUUAAAGGAGAGAAAACAAUUGUUCCACAUGACAGAAGACCAGAAAACAGCGAGAAUAACUUGCCUAUCAAUCACAGAAUGGACAAGAAAUACAUGGUAUUUUCAUCUGAUGGAAAGCUACUCAGCUAUAAAUUAGGAUAAUCUCAAAGCUGUUGUAGGUAAAUGGAUGCAACUGGAGGUCAUGCUCAUGGUGAAAUGGUUUGGACUCAUAUGUGUGAUCACCAAGUUAUCUCCCUAGCAUAAAAAAAUUGAAGGAGUUAUUGGGGUCCAAAGAGCAUAAUCGAUAUUUUGAAAGUGAUAGGGGAGGAUAUGCCUAAAAAGGGAAAGUGGCAACCACUGUUGAUUUCCUAUUAUCUUGUUUUGAAUUCUUAUAUCAUUUUUCAUAAUUUUUUAAGGUUUGGCUUUAUUCUGUCUUGUUUUGUUGGUUUUUACUGUGUCUGAUAGUAUGGGCAGCUAUUUUGAAGAAAAUGAAACAUUAUGAUAGCCAUUGUUGAUUUCCUGUCAUCUUGUUUUGAAGUCCCAUUAUGCUUUCAUUCUUUUGUUUUGAUUGAUUUAUUCUUUUUUGUUUUAUUUGAUUUUACUUUAUGUGAUAGUAUGGACAGCUCUUUUGAAGAAAACAGGAGACAUUAUGGUAGUCACUGCUGAUUUCCUGCUGUCUUGUUUUGAUGUCCUGUAAUGCUUGCAUUGUUUUGUUUUAAUUGGUUUUGUUCUCUUUUGUUUUGUUUGACUUUGUUGUGUGUGAUGGUAUGGACAGCUAUUUUGAAGAACAUGAGAGGCACUGUGGUAGUCAUUGUUGAUUUCCUGCUGUCUUGUUUUGAAGUCCUAUAUCACUUGCAUUGUUCUGUUCUGAUUUGCUUUAUUUUGUUUUGUGUUGUUUUGUUUUCUUUAAAAUAAAAAGUAUAUUCAUUUCUUUAUGUAAAACAUACUUAUUUAGUAUAUUCUACAUGUUCUAGACCCCAAGUAUGUGGGAAUAGGGAAAAACAGAUGAAGUGUGUGUGUGUGUGUAAAAACUUCGAUGUAAUUGAAAGAGAUUGAUGAUAUACAAGUAAAUGUAUAAAGUACUUGGUGGUUGUAAAUUCUACGGAAAACAUAAAGCAAGGAAAAGAACAAGAUGGUGGAUCUCUGGGAGUUAGGGAUAUUAUAUUUUAAAAAAUAUUUGAUCACACUAAAAGAAGAAAUAGGUCUGUGAUCACUAAUUGUGAAACUAUAUGUCAACUUGUUUUGAAUUAGACUGCUGCCUAAAAUAUUAAUAAAGCACAGUUUGGGUGUGUCUGUGGAUUACUGACAUGUGGGUCAGCAAGCUGAGUGAGUGUUUAAGGGGAGCCCCACACUAGACUGCCUAGCACCAACUAAUUGGUUUCUGAGUGCUCCCUUUCUGCAAGAGCUCCAGUUUUGGCCAUUGACUUUGGGUAUUGAUUUAGUUUAUUCAGCCUACAAAUGCAGACUGGCACUGGUGACUCUACUUUGAGUUUCCAGAUCUUUGAGGUUUGACCUUUGAUCACUACUGGAUCCUCUAGCUCUGCUGUGUGCAGACGCCAUUUUGGAUUUUACCACUUCUGGUAUUUCCAUGAUUCUGGUCAUAAACUGAACUGAAUGAGCACUGAAACAAAUUUCCCUAUAAAGUCAACAUCGAACCAUAUCAUUGAAUUUGUUUGGUGCUCUACUUGUGACCAGAAUCAUGGAAAGAAGCAAGUUUGUAACCGAAGUGUUUUCCCUCAGUCUUGAAAUGGAAGAUCAUGAACACUAAAAGUUAAAUUACUUGUGUCGACAGAGCUAGAAACUUUCCCCUAAGUUUAGUCUUCUUGUACAGACAUUUUCUAAUGUUUUUUCACUUUCUAUACUUAGAGAUAGCCCUAAAAUCAGUUCUCAUUUCAAAUGCUAAAUAUAGGAAUGGAAUAAUUGAUAAUUUUCAGUUAUACUGAUUCUUAGACUAUGAAUAAAGCUUUUAAAUAUUUUAGAUGGCUUCACUUAGUCCUAAAGUUUUGAUGAUAUUAAGAAACUUAUUUUCAGCAUGUUAAAAAGUCAAAUGCCAUGUCCAGAACUACACAGGAUCAGUAAUACAGUUCACUCAAUAAAUGUUUAUUGAUAUCUUAAAUUUUGAUCAGAGAGAAAUUAUUUCUAUGAAGCAAUUAAGCAUGAGACUAUCUUGAUUCAAAACAUUUAUUUAUUGUAUAAUUUUGUUAGCAUUUUCAGUCAAGUCCAUCCUAACUUAUCAAAGAUUUUUUAAUUUAGGAAAGGUUACUAAGAUGAUCAUUAUUUAAGUUCAAUCACCAAAUAAUAAGGCAAAUAAAAUUAGAUUUUCUAUUAUUAAACCACCUUGGUAUCAUGAGAAUAAAUGCUCCUGACUCUGAUUUUAAAAUGUGUAGGAUUUAUAGUGUGUGGAAUUAAUUAAUUCAUUGUAAUUACAGUAACAAAAUAUGUAUCAUUGUCCUCCUGAGGAGAAAUUAGAUCAUUUUUUAUUUUUCUUGGUAUAAAAUGUUAGAUUAGGACAAAUUUUGCAUCAGAAUUUUGAAAGUGUUAUUCCAUUGUCUGCUGGUCUCCAGUGUUGUCACUGAGAAUGUAAUAGUUACUUAUCUGAUAAUGUGUAUUAUACACCUGUCCUAACCUCUUUAUGUAAAGUAACUCAUUUCAUCUUUGUAACAGCAUUACAAAGUGCAUACUAUUAUUGUUUUACCCAUUGUGUAUGUAAGGACAUUGAGGCACAGAAAGGUUAAUAUCAUGUCCCAAAAUCUGUAACAGAUAUGAAUCUAGAUAGUCUUCCUUGAGAUUCUUCCUCAACCACUGGAUUUUACCACUUCUCAAGACAGUUUAAUUUCUGACCCUGAGAGUCUGUGACCUAUGGUUGGUCUGCUGUCUCCUGUUAGGCUUCACCUUCUAGUGUACAGGUAUACUUCCACUGCUCAGUAUAUGACGUCUUCCUGAGGCUUCUCUGACACCAUGGUGUGAUAGGCAAAUUCCCACAGGAAUGCAUCAGACCCAGAAAGUUAAGGAGUUUACAGCUCAGGAGACAGCCCUUAAAGAUGAGCAACAAAUGCUUUCCUUCUUUGCUCUGUGGGUGGCUGAUCUGGAGAUGUCUUCCAUAUGGUUACUUGGAAGGUAGCAAAUGAGACUGGGCUUUAUUUCCCAAGGAAUGGGUCAACUGAAAAGUGUAUUCUCUUUUUCCAUCCCUCAUACCUAUUUCUGAGGAUCUCUUCUCAAAUAAGCUUCUUACUUGCAAGUCUUUGCCUCUGGCUUUGCUUGAAGCCAGCAGAGGUGCAUUUGAUACCAAAGUGGCAGUUAGCAGGCAGAGCCUUUGGAGCCCAAUCACUUAGUCAUUCCACAGCAGCAAGGGUCCCAUUUGGUGUUAUCGGUAGAGUGGUGAGAACCCUUGAUAUCAAGAGUGCUGAGAGUACCUUUGAGGUGGAUAAGGGUGAGGUACAAGUUCAGAUAGAUAAGGGCUAUGAAAAGUAUCCAUGACCCUUUCUAUUACCAUAGAAAGGGUCAUGGAUUCUGAUAAAAGCUUGAGAAAGUAGCAGGCAUAAAGUUACCUAAGUAUCAACGCAAAGCACGUUCUGAAUGCUGGAAGACCUCCAUGGUCUCAUCUCAAGAAGGUACAACUGCAAAACAUUUUUACCUAGGAUUUAAGUGUCAAGGGGAAAAGAUACAGGGAGGACUGAAUCUCCAGUCUUCAAUACGCUUCAAUGCACCCAUCAAAGUCCCAGCAAAGGAGUGGGACUUUGAGAGCUGUUGGUAUAUUUCAAAGGAUUAGCUGAAAAUCCUGUCUCUUUGGGUUCCCUUAAAUUCUCUGGAAUGGAAAGCAUAGUCUCUCCUUAUUGAUAAGAAAGCAUCUUUUGGUCUGAUAUAGAACCAUAGCACAUGGCAGGACAUUUGUCACUCAUUCUUGUGCAAACUGAAAAUGCAAUAUGCAAUAGGAGCUGACAAAGAAAUGUCAAUCUUCCCUCAGGAACAGUCCAGAAGCACUUUCUAUGAGGUACCUUAAAGAAUUCCAUGCAUGUGGCACCCAAAGGAGUGUCCAAUUUGAUAAUACAUUGCUUUACUGGCUUGCUUUUCUGUUUUCCUUUCUCCAGUUUAUCCCUGUUUGUCCCCGGGAAUUAUUUCUAAAUAAAGUACAUGCACACAAAGUCUUGUCUUGGUUUCCCUUUUGGAGAAGGCGGAGGACCUAUGCUAAAAUAGCCUAUUGUUUGGAUAAUAAAUUCCUUGGACUGAUGUAAUUUUCUUAUUUUUUAUGACAGUUUUGGAACCUUAUUUCACUGACCUUGCAUUUAUUCUGUGGUAUUUUCUGAGAAUAAAUUAGAUAUUCAACUCAUUGAGUUUUUAAUGUCUAAUUUUUAAUGGAUGCAUUCAAGCAAUGUAUUUUCUUGCUUUUUCUACAGUUCACAAUUUGAUAUGUUCUUUUUGUUAUUCUAAAAUUUUUCUGAAUUUAAUUAAGAUCACUUUUUUGACCUAUGAAUUAUUUGAAAGUAUAUGUCUUAGUUAUUUUUUACUCAUCGCUGAGACAAAAUGCCUGAUGCCAAAAUUUGGGAAAGGAAAGGUUUAUUUUUUACAGCUUUUGGAGGUUGUAGUCUAUACUCAGUUGGCUCCAAGGCAGGGUGGCAUAGCAGGGCCACAAUUCAUGGCAGCUGCAAACAGCAAGGCAGACACGGGCAAGAGAGAGAGACACACCUUUUUCCUGUCAUUACCUUGUAUGCUGGCUCCACCUCUAGGUGGGUGUAGCACUGACACCAUCAACCUAGAACCAAUCACAAAUGCACAGUGUAAACACAUGAGGCUUGGGCACCACUGAUAUAAACCAUGACAGUGUACAUAAGUACAAGGAUAGUUUUAUUAAUCUCUAAGGAAUUAGUAUAUAAUUUUCCUGAUUUGUGAUCAGAGAGUGUGAUUGCUAUAAUUAUGUAGGACUUGUUAGAGCAUAUUUUAUGGUUAACUUAGCAAUGAUGUUUGAAUGUAUCAUUUAAUCUACUUUUUAAAUUCACUUUGGUUUCCUCAAGAAAGAGAAAAAGGAGUGUUCAGUAUAUCAAAUUUAUUUUAUAUGAUUUGAGAUUAUGUUGUUUGUUGUUCAUAGAGAUUUGGUACUUUUAGUUUCUACUUUGUGAAUUGUGCCUUUUAUUAUUAUGGAAUGACUCUCGUUAUUUGUAAUGAAGCUUUCCACAUCCAUGUCUGUGUUGGCUGUGAUUCAGUUUUCUUUUGUGUAUGAUAUUUGCAGGCUAAAAUUUUUAGUUUUUUGUGUUAUUUGAUUUAGUUUUAUUUAACCUGUGAGUUUCUCUAUUUUAACCAGUAAGAUUUAUAUGCACUAUGGUAACACAUAUAUUUGAAUUUAUUUAUAUCAUCUUUUUUCAUUUUCUUCUUUUUUCUACCCUUUAUCUCCUCCCUUCCUCUUCUGUUUCCAUUGAUUGAAAUUAUUUACCUUCAUUUCUUUUUAUUCACCACUCAUUUAGGACUUACAUAUUUUUAGUAAAUUUCUUAACACUUAACAAGUGUGUUGACUUCUCGGAAAAUGGCAGAGUGAUGAACAGCAGAGAAAUGGUGUCUGAUAUUUGGGGUCCAGACACUAUACCAUAGCAAUGUGAGGAAGAGAAGGAGGAGGGAAGUGGGUCCCUGGGACCCAGAAAGGAUCCGAAGCAAAAACAGAGGCCAAAGGGGAGGGCAAAGAGAGAGACUUCAACACAGAUGAAUGAGGUGGCAAGUUGUGCUUUCUCUCUGAGCCUUGUCUCACAGGUGGCUUGAACCUGUAGAUGAACAGUGAAUACUGGGGAUCCCAAGGUCCUCUGAAGAGAAAUGCAUCAGGGUAAUGGAGCAGUGCAUGUAGCAAACUACAGUGCCUGGUGAGUUAUUUGAAUUCAGAUGUUCCCCAAGAGAAGGAUGACUUACUGGUAGCUAUUUUAGAGAGGGGCCAACUGAGCUGAAAAUUCAGACUAUCUGCAAGCUGGCUCUACCAGCAGCUCCCAGUAUCAGGCUCAGGUAGCACUGAGUUAAAGUUGAAAGUGAAAGUCAACAGCAAAGUGAAGAGUUCAAGCCAGACAGCAGCCAAGUUCAAGCUGGCAAGAGGCACAUGGAGUGUUACAAGCUGAACAAAUCAUGUUCUAGUCACACUGUUUAGUUCAGAAACCUGCCUAAACUUCAAUGGAACUAAAUGUACAGGUUUGCUGGGAAUAUCCACUACAUGACUAAAUCUGUUGCUAGCUUGUUGGAGUUUAUCAACAUGGAUCUGGGUUUUUUCUAUCAAUAAUAGCAGAGACAUUCCCUAAAGUAGACAAUUUUUCUUUUUUGUUGUUUUUAUUUUUUCUUGAUGAUUUUAUUUUUAUUUGAAUGUGAAUAUUGCUUCUAGUUGUUUUGUUGUUGUUCUGUUCUUGUCGUAUUUCUUUCUUCUCACUUUCCCUCCUCUCUUCUUCACCAGUUUCCCAAAGUUCAUGCAAUCAUUAGUUGUUCUCCAGGCUUGCUUCUAUCUCUUCCUUUUCUGUUCUCUGUUUUUUUCUUCAAAAUUUUUAAAGUUUUCUACCAUGAGGGUAAAAUCACCACCUUGAGGGCAUAUUUACUGUAUAAAAUUUUCUGGUUUGCUUUCAAUUUUGAUAUAUAAGAGUAGUGUCUUGUUCAUAUGGAUAACAAUGGCAAAUUUGCUACCAUAGUUUGCCAUUUCUGUGUUUGAUGUUAUUGUUAUUCCUGAUUGUACUAUGUUAGCUAGGGUGACAUAAUUGUUCUCAUCAGAGAGUGAGAUUGCUUGAGGGUCAAAACACUAGUACAGGCCAGUGCCAAAAAACCAGGAGCUAGGACAGGUAGGCAGCAACUUCUCAUCCCCAAUAAGUUGAACUCUUGAAAUAGACUUUUUUCUGAGUAGUGAUUUUCUAAGGAUUCUCAGUACUAGCACAAAGCUACCUUCCAUAAGCAAUUUACAAACAUCAGCUCAGGAAGUAAGCUAAAAAUAGAAGAUACAGGAGCUACUGAAGCAAAAUGCAACCUCAGACUUCCAGGUGGCCAAAGGCAAACCCAGGGGGGCAAUGAGUUGGAACAACUCAAAAGCUACCCUCCUGGGCUCUCUGAGGUUGGAAUAGCAGAAAUAACAAAGAAGAUGAAUGAAGCUUCAGGGAAAGUCAAGUCAGAAUAAUUUCUAAGAUAGCUAAAUAAAUGUUUACUGUAAUGAAGAACAUGGCUAGUGACUGUAGAGCAUGUACAGAUAAAAAAAAAUAGAGAAGGUUAGGAAAAUGAUGGGCAUCAUCAACAGCCAACUUAGGAAAGAAAUAGAAUCCAUGAAACAGAUUCAAACAGAUCCAGGAGAUUCAAAAUUCCAUGAAAGUAUACACAACAGAAUGAGUCAAUGUGUGGGCAGAAUAUCAGACAGAGAAUACAAGAUUGUGGUUAGGAAUCAUGGAAAGAAAGAUUUCUUCAAAUUACCAAGUGCCUAUGAAAAACCAAUCCAACAGUUGCUAAAUGCUACAAAGAAUAACAUAAACUUGAUCAGAGUCAAUGAAGAAGCAUGAGACAAUGCAAAUGAUAUAGAAAACCUAUUCAUAGAAGUAAUGGCAGAAAACUUCCCAAGCAUGUAAAAAGAAUUUGACCUACAGAUAAGAGAGGCACAUAGAAUUCCAUUAGCCAUGAUAAAAAAAAUCUACACCAAGGUAUGGAAUAGUCAGGAUUUCAGAAUUUCAACAAAAGAAGCAAUAAUGAAAACCCUUAAGAAUUACAGCACACUUCUCAGCACAAACCUUCAAGCCAAGGAGAGCUUGAGGUGAUGUAUUUCAAACCUUAAAAGAAAACAAGCUCCAAUACAGAUUGAUGUACCACCCAAAGCUAUAUUUCAAAAUUGAUGAGAGGAUAAGCCUUCCAUGACAAAGAAUAUCUGAGGAUUCAUGACUACAAAACCAGCACUCCAAAACAUUCUGAAGAUUAUUUUUAUAAAGAGAUUUUUAAAAAUCUACAACUCCAUGAAACCCAACAGCAUAGAUUCCAUAGGCAAGGAAAGUAAUUAAACAGAGAAGAAAAAAAGGGAGCCAAUUACAGAAAACUAGUUUGACAAGGAUGUCAAUACAUAUCAGUUAUAACCAUCAAUGUAAAUAGUUUCAAUUCAUCAAUCAAAAGAGACAGAUUGGAAGAAUGAAUCAAGAAGCAAGAUCCAACAAUAUGCUGCAUACAAGAAACACAUUUAAUUAAAAAAGAAAGUGAUAGAAAGAUCCCCCUUUAAUAAAUUGUGUGGAAAAAAACUAGCUUUCCACAUUAAGAUUAAAUUAAACCCAUGUCUUUCACCAUGCUCUAAACUAAAAUUAAAAUGAAUUAAAGAUCUAAAUAUAGAAACAAAAAUGCUAACUCUACCAGAGAGAAUAUACAGAACUCUUGGAGACAUCAGUUUAGGCAAAGACUUAAGGAACAAAGCUCCAGUUGAACAUGAAAUACCACAAAGAAUCAAAACUGGGAUCUCAUCAUAUUAAAAAAAUUUGCAUAGUAAAAGAAACCACCAAUACAGUGAAGAGACAACUGACAGAAUGGGAAACAUUUUUGCCAACUAUUCCUCAGAGGACUAAUAUCUAGAAUAAAGAACUUGAAAAAAAAAAUCAGACUCCCUAGAUUUAAAGACUCCAUGUAAAAAUUGGCAUCUGAAAUAAACACUUCUCAGAUGUAGAAGUAGAAAUAGCAAAUACAUGCAUGAAAAAAUGUUCAACAUCAUUGGUCAUUGGAGAGAUGCAAAUUAUGAUGCCAGUUUUCAGAGAUGCCAGGAUUUCAUCUCCAUAAACUGGCUAUUAUCAAGAAAUCAACCAGCUGGGUGUGGUGGAACAUGUCUAUAAUUCCAGCACUUGAGAGGCUGAGGCAGGAGAGUUGCUGUGAGUUCAAGGUCAGCCUGGGCUACACAGUGAGUUCAAAGCCAGGAUGAACUGCAUAGUGAAAUCCUGUUCAACCAAUAACAAAUGCUGUUGGGGCUGAGCCAUAAAAGGAACCCUUCUCCACUGUUGGUGGGAGUGUAGACUGGUACAAUCACUACGGAAAUCAGUGCGGCAAUUCCUCAAAAAACCAGAAGUCCCAUUUGACCCAGAAAUUCUCCUUCUUUGUAGCUUCCAAAAAGAAUUAAAAGCAACAUACCAUAGCAAUAUAUGCUCAGCUUUUGUUCUUAGGGGCCCAGUUCAUAAUAGCCAAAUCUGAGAAACAGCCUAAAUGCUCAUCAGUUGAAAAGUUGGUAAAGAUGAUGUGAAGUUUUUUUUUUUUUGUAUACAAAGGAGUAAUUCUCUGCCAUAAAGAAUGAUAAGCUUGAGAUCUUUCUAUAUAAAUAGAUUCAUCUUGAGACCAUAGUCUAAGGUGAAAUAAACUAGAUACACAUUUUAAAAUACUGCAUUGAACCAGCUAUUUCUAAGAGGACAAUAUGUAAUUUAUUAACUAGUGAUUUCUUGCUGUUUAUUUUUUAAAUUAUGUAUUAUUUCUACCCUUUUUGUGUUUUGUUUUUUCUCUUUGUACAAAAUUAAAAAACUAAAAUACUGUAUUGUUUCUCUGAUGUGAGAAACUGAAAACAUAAAUAAGGAUCAAUAUAUAAUAGAUAUUGUGAAUUGGGAAGAAAAUAUUCAAAUGGGAAGGGGGAUUAAGAAGUGGGAAGAGGGAAAGUAAGGAAAGGAAAAGAAAAAAUGAAAGAAUAGAGGUAAAAAUAUAAACAAAGUUUUUGUUAAUAAAAGGGAAAAGGUGUUGAGGGUAAUGGAGGAUAAUGGAGAAAAACAGAAGAAGCAAAAUAUAUCAUGUACAGGUACAAAUUCUUUAUGAUGAAUGUGAUUUUUAUGUAUAUCUAAAAUUCAAGAAAGAGUGAGAGCAAGAGUGAGGGAGGGAGAGAGAGACUGUCACACGUGCUCUGAAUCAGAUUUAGUACAGGACACAGAAAUUUUCAAGAUUUCCACAGAAUCAAACACAAAAGAGUACAAUAGAUCUGUCUGCAGACUAGAAAGAUUAAGAAUCCAGUAGAGAGCCUGGAGCCCAUGGCAAUGGCCCCUCUGGGUCCAAAACAGGAGGCCAAGACAUCUGUGCUGGAAGACUAGAGGGUGUGCACCUAAAGCCAGUAGCCCCUGCUGGAGGCUAGAGGGGCUGCAUCAGGGAAGCUAGGCAAAGACCAGAGCUCCUCUGGAGAAAACAGCAGUCAUCCUUGGUGAAGGUGAGGAAAAUCACCUGCAGUGAAGGCCCUUCAAAUAAGACAAAUUGAAAUCCUUCCCUCCCAUUCUCCUUUUAUGUUGUUUUGACAACUAUACUGAUUUCAAAUAAACUGGGCAUUCCUACUCCAGUUGAAAAUUAAUUAAUCACUACAACAUCCUAGCCCUCCUAAUCUACAAAUCUAUAUUUCAUGUUGCUAUAUUCAAUACUUUAGGUAAUUUUAACGCAAUAGUACUUGUGUACCUAAACCUAGAAAAGACAUGAUAAAAAUACUUAGGUAAUAGGAAUGUCCCAGCUCCAUUAUAAUUUUGUGGAAUCAUGAUCAUAUAUAUGAUUCAUUGCUGACUUAAAUAUUGCUAUACAGUUGAUGACUGAACUUGAUUUAUGUUUUGUGGUUGGGCUAUUAGCCGUUACUUUAUUCAGGAGACAUAUGCAAGGAUUACAUAUAGGGAAUUAUUAAAUAUUUUACAUGUAAAAAAAUAAUUAUAUUUAUGAAAAUUAUCUUGAUUUUGUAUACAAUUUUGGGGUUAAAACACUGCAUAUAGCGUUUUGUUUAUUUUAAGUCUAAUAUUGCUGAGGUGAAGUUGGAAGCAAGAUUAAUUUCUAUCUACUUUUUCUGUCUGCAUACUUUUAUGAUUCUUCCCAUAUCUUUGAAUAACCUCUGGAACAGGAUAAGUCAUGAAGUUUGCUGUUAAUUAAUACAAUUUUCCAUAGUGCCACUAAAACAAGUGCCACAAAAUACGUUCAGACAAUGGGAGCAUGAAAUAAAACAGAUCAUCAUAUUUCUUUGUCUUGGGAAAGUUUUCUUUUAUUAUAUCCUUCAAUAUUUUUAGUAUUUCAUUUUCAUAAUUUUAAAAAUUACCUAACAUCUACUUGUUAUUCACUGAAUAUCAGUCUUUAUGAUAUAUACAAGUUUUUCUUUAUCAAUAUAUUUUUCUUAUCCCUUUCCUUUCUAUGUGUGUGUGUUUUGCUAAUUGUCAACAAUCUAAUUUCUGUUAUACUGGUUCAGAUUCUUGUUGUAUAAGUUCUGCUUCUUACACUUCUAAGAUAAUUUUUUGCAAUGAUUUUUUUUUGUUUUUACUAUUGUUAGAUCAGUUUUCAUCAAGAGAUCACCUUACUAUCUUGUCUUGAAGUUCUUUCUUUCAGUUCUUCUUUAGAUUCUCCCAUUACAGUGUUUUAAAAUAAUCAUUUUUCUUGGAAAACAUGAAAUGGUUGUUGCUUAAAUAUUUUUGCAAUUUUCCUAAAGAAAUUAUCAUUCUAACAUAUUAUUUACUUAUUAUUUUAUUGGCUACCUCCCUUUCCUUUUAACAUGUAUUUUGCAGAACUUUUGCAUAGUUUUUCUUCCUUAUUUUGAAAGAAUGCAUGUCUGUUUUUACUACUUGCCAGGAAUAUUAUAAAUGGAAGAACUGUGGAAGUUCUUUGUCUUAUUGAACUUUAGUUUUACAUUAUGGACUUGCUCUUGGAUAGUUUUUUGUUCAGUUACUUAUUUGCAUAUAGUUUGAAUUGUUUGGAAUUAAGAGGUAGGAAAAAACAGUUGGGGAGAAAAAUAUGGCGGAUUUGGUAUAUUAUCUCUGCAUUUCCCACCUCCACUCUGCAGUCUACUGAAACAACUGGGCUUCUGCCUGACCUUAGAGGUUCUGGAAUUAGCAUGCUUGGGAGAAGCCGAUGGCUCAAAGGCUAUCACAAUCAAGCUAAACAAGGUUGACUGGCUUAUGAAGCAUCCAGAAAUUAGUAAAGCACACUUCUGGGUGUGACUCUGUGGGUCAUGGAGGCAUGACCUUGUUUACUGUAUCUGGUAUCUGGCUCCUUUCUCUCUGUGUUGUUCUCUCUGCCUUCAGUUUACCUUGAAGUGAGCAGUUUGCUUCACCAUUCCUUCCUGCCAUGAUGUUUCUAUCUUGGAGCUAGACAAUCAUGGAUUUGAUCCUUUGAAACUGUAAGUCAAAUUAAACUGCUCCUCCUUUAAAUUAUGCAUGUCAGGUAUUGUAAUCCAGAGUUGGGAAAGCUGACCAAGACAGAGACUUUUGUUCAUUUAUGUAGGAUAGGGACUUAAUUUUCUGUGACUUUAAUCAAUAACUAAACAUUCUCUUUCUCAUAUUAGCAUUAACUUUAGGUCAUUCACUAUCCCAGCCAAAAAAAAAAAAAAUCUCUGUUCAUUGAAAACAGAAGUAUUCAGCGCUAUCUCUCUUUGAGCCCCACAGCCCUGCCAUGCACCCUGAUAGUUACCUAUUUUUAUUUCAGUCUUCCCUUGUCUUUUGUUUUUCCAACUUCUUUCUUACAACUCUAAGGUCAUAAACAAAGGAAUUGUCUCAAGACAAUUUGGGCUUCUUUUUCAACUGGUUUACCUUUGAAGGCAUUCUUAGGAGUUUCUUGCAUGGAAUUAUGAUUAUUUUAUAGUUUCAGGAUAAAUAUUUUUCAUUUCUCUUUUCAGUUCUUUAUGAUCUUUUAAGGGGAUUUCAGAGAGAGGAGUUUGGGAGGUUUAGGAGUUGUAUACAUUAAACAUCUGUUUUGCAAAGUGAAUAAUAACUCUUUAGUUUUACCUGUAAUUUUAGUCAUACUACUAUUAAAAUUAAAAGCGCUUUAUAUAUGAAAUGACUUCUCUUUUGUAUUUAACUAACAGUGGGAAAAGUAUGUAAUAAGAUAUAUUUGAAGAGGUGUCCCUCAUACAAGGUCACUGAUUUCUUUAAUAUAUUUCUACUUUGAUUUAUGUCUUACGAUUUAUUGAAAAUACGUAGCCUUGUUUAUUCUUAUGAAUUUCCUCUCUAAGGAAUAGUUUAAUGUUAUAAAAGUACUGUUGUUCUGAAAUCCUCACAUAUCUUUAAUAUUAAAAAAAUCAAUCAGGGAGCCUGGAAAUAUCAGAUACCAUCCUUUCUAGAUGCAAAGGUAAAUAUGCCACACAAAUAAAGGAAAAGAGAAUUUGAUGCUUUAGUUUUCUGUAUUUCUCCCAACAUCUUUCCUUUUCUUCUGUUGAGGAUCCUUAUUCACAGAUGCCACUGAGGUAAAUAUGGAUAUAGAUAGAGGUAUGUAGAUAUCUCAAGAGGUGAUCAAAAUAUACAGUGAUUGUUUAGAUUUUAAAAAUUUAUUACUAGACAUGUUGCCACUGGUUACCCUCAGAAGACUCCAUCUAGCUUUGAACACACUUAUCCCAUGCUUCUUAUCCUUUUCUGAAGCAGUUCUGGAAAUUUUCUUUUGGUCUCUAUGAAUAAAAAAAUUAUGAAUAAAAAAUGUGUUGAAUGCUUCUGUUGAGUUGCAUCCCAGCAAAAAGCAGGAUCAUAUAAACAUCACAGUGUGUCCUUUCCACCUUAUCCACUUGAUCUGGCACCAUGUGACUGCUGGCUGUCCUCCAAAGUGAAAAUGAACAUGAAAAGGAAAUGUUUUGAGUGGAUUCAGGACAUAAAGUUGGCCAGGAGGGCACAAAACAAGACACAAAAGAGGACUCCCAGAACUGCUUUAGAAAGUGGCAAGAAUGAUAAGUUCAUAUGAAGUGCCAGAAGUAUUUUGUUGGGUAUUAUUGGCAAUAUAUUUUUCACUGUAAUAAAAGGUUUAGGGCUGGGGAUUUAGCUCAGCAGCAUAAGUGCUGCCUGGCAAGUACACGAUUGUGAGUUCGAUCCACAGUACCUAUAUGUAAAUAUAUAUGUACACAUACACAUAUACACACAUAUAUAUAUAUAUGUAUAUAUAUAUAUUUACUUGUAAUAAAAUGUUUAGAAUUUGAAUAUCAUUCUAUUUUUAACCACAUCUUUUAUAGCUAUAUACACAUAGGAUGUACAAAAAUGUAGAUAGUAGACACGAUAUUUUGGAGUCAUCUUCACGAAUCCUCAGGUCGAUGACUAUGGAAAUCUUACAGAUUUGUAUCUUUGCCCUGAAUCAUCUUUUCAUUUUUUACUGUAGUUUUGUUCAAAAAUCAUUUGCUUCUACUAUAUACAACUUUAUGCCAAAAAACAGAAACAUCUUCAACUUUCAGAAAGAGUUUCAACUACUCAGAUAUAUUUAAUUCAAUGAAACUUCUCAGUCACUUUUUUAUUUUAAAAAAAGAUUAAGAUAAAAGAGGACAUAACCAAACAGGUCAGAACAGAACAAUUUAAGCAACAUAGUGUUUCACCACAAGAAAACCUGAUAUAGUAGUAGCUAUCAUAGUGUCUCUUUCCUUGAAAUAUUUGAGUAUACCUUCAUAUACUAUACUACCAAACAUAACAAAAAGGUAUAAAAACAUUCAAGGGAAUGAAAGUAUUACAAGGUAUUCAGAACCAACGAACAGUAAAUGAACAAUGGUUACUAUAUUAUCUCCUUGUCCAUAAAAUUUUGUUUAUAUUAUCACAUAUAAUAAAAUACAAUAAGAUACAACAUGAUAAAACCAAUGGAGACAGAAGAACAACAGCUUGACGGGACUUCAAAUCAAGAUGAUAUUAAAUCAGCAUUAGAUAUUAUAAUGUCUUAUUUUCUUCAAAAUAGCUGUUCAUACCAUCACAGACAAUAAAAUCAAACAACCCAGAAUAAAACCAUUCCAACUAAUGAAUGAGAACAUGAUAAGCAAUUCAAAGCAAUAUACUGGGGAAUCAAGAUUACCACAUACUUUUAUGUAUUCUUACAUUUCUUACACUAGGGAGCCUAUUCAGUAUUUAUACAUGUGAGUUAGAUUCAUUUCACUUAUGAGUAUGGUCUCAAGCUGUGUCCAUUUAUUUAUAAAGAUCUCAAUGUGAUCAUUUUUAUAGCUGAGUAGUACUCCAUUGUAUAAAAAUACCACAACUUUUUUAUUCAUUCCUCAGUUGAUGGACACUUACGUUGUUUCCAAGACCUAACUAUUACAAAUUGUGCUGCUAUAAACAUGGGUGCACAUAUAUCACUGUGGUAUAAUGUUUGCUUCUGGGAAUAUGCCUGGAAAUGGAAUAGCUGGAACAAAUGGGACCUCCAAUCCCAGAUUUCUGAGAAGACUGACCUCCACAAUGGUUGCACCAGUCUACACUCCCACCAAAAGUGCAAGAGAGUUCCAUAGCCUCUCCAGCAUUUGUUGAUGGUUUUCUUGAUCCUGGCCAUUCUUUCAGGAGUGAGAUGGAAUCUCAGUGUGGUUUUAAUUUGCAUUUCUCUAAUGAAAAUGAUGAUAAACAUUUUUUAAGAUAUUAUUUGCAAUUUUUAUUUCUUCAUCUGAGAACUGUGUAUUCAUCCCAGAUGCCCAUUUGUGGAUUGGAUCUUUGAAUUUUGGGGGUCUGAUUUUUAAAAAUUCUUUGUAUGUUUUGGGCAGAAGUCCGUUGUCUGAGGGACAGUUCACUAAGAUUUUUUUUGCAGUUUGUGAGUUUUCUUUUUACUAUGCUGGAGAUUUCUUUUGAUGUGAAGAAACUUUUUAAUAAGAUGUGAUCCCAGUUACUGAUUCUGGGGAGUAUUUCUCAUGCGGUUUGAUUCCUGUUCAUGAAUUCUCUACCUACUCCUAUGUCUUCAAGGUUUUUUACCCACUUUGUCUUCCAAUAGAUUUAGUGUUUCUGUUUUAAUAUUCAGAUCUUUGGUCCAUUUAGACUUUAAUUUAGUAUAUGGUGAUAGGCAUGGGUCUAGUUUUAGUUUUCAGUAUAUGGAGAGCCAGUUUUUCUAACACUGUAUAUUAAAGAGACUGUCCUUCUUCCAGUGAACAUAUUUGGCCCCUUUAUCAAAGAUAAGGUGAUUGACUGCGUUUUUAGUUGUGGUUGUAUCUUCUAAUCUAUUCCACUGGUCUUCAGCUCUGUUUUGAUUCCAGUGCCAUGUUUAUAGUUGCUUUGUAGUAUAACUUUAAGUCAGGGAUCGUGAUGCUUCCUGCCUUGCCUUUGCUGCUUAGAACUGUCUUUGCUAUUCUAGGCCUCUUCUUGUUCAAGAUGAAUUUUAGGAGUGAUUACUUGAGUUCUGUGAGGUAUGUUGAUGGUAUUUUUAUUGGGAUUGCAUUGAAUCUGUAUAACAGUUUUGGGAGAAUGAUCAUUUUCACAAUAUUUAUUUGUUCAAUCCAUGAGCACGGGAUGUCUUUCCAUUUUCUGAGAUCCUCUUCAAUUUCUUUUUUCAGUGUAUUAUAAUUUUUCCCAUAUAGAUCUUUUAUUUCUUUUGUGAGAUUAAUUCCUAACUAUUUCAUUUUUUUGGAUGUUAGUGUGAAAGAUGUGGCUUCUCUUACUUCUCUCUCUGUGAUUUUGUUGUUAGUGUAUAGGAAUGCUAUUGGUUUUUGAGUUUUGAUUUUGUAUCCAGCUACAUUGCUGAAUUUAUUUAUUAUAUUUAGGAGACUUUCAAUGGAAUUUUGGGGGUCUUCUAUGUAAAAUAUCAUGCCACCCACAAAUAAUGAUAAUUUAACUUCUUUUCAUAUCUUUACCCCUUUUAUUUUUCUCUCUUGUCUAAUUUCUCUGGCUAGUAUAUCCAGUACUGUAUUGAAUGCGAGCUGUGAUAAGGGACAUCCUUGUUUUGUGCCUGAUUUUAAGGUAAAGGCCUUCAGUUUUUGGUCAUUUAGUAUGAUACUGGCUGUUGGUUUGUCAUAGAUGGCCUUUAUCAUAUUGAGGUAAAGACCACUAAUUCCAAUUUUCUGUAAGAUUAUUAUCAUGAAUGAAUGUUGGACCUUAUCAAAAGCUUUUUAUGCAUCUAUAGAAAUGAUCAUGUAAUUCUUACUUUUGGUUUAUAGAUAUGGUGGAUUACACUUAUUGAUUUACGUAUGUUGAACGAUCCUGCAAGCCUGGGAUGAAUCCCAAUUGGUCAUGGUGUGUAAACUUCUUGAUGAUUUGCAGCAUCCUGUUUGUCAAUAUUUUAUUGAGGAUUUUUGUUUCUGUGUUCAUGAGGGAAAUUGGCCUGUAGUUCUCUUUUUCAGUUGAGUUUUUCUCAGGUUUUAGAGUAAUAUUUGCUUCCAAGAGUGACUUAGGAAGAAUUGCUUCCCUUUUGAUUUCAUUGAAGAUUUUGAGGAGUGUCGGCAUUAGGUCUUCUUUGUAUUUCUUGUAGAAUUCCGCAGUGACUCCAUCUGGGCCUGGGCUCUUCUUUGUAGGUGAGGACUUAAUUACAUUUUCAAUUUCACUAAUAGAAAUUGGGUUACUCAGAAGUUUUACAUCUUCUUGACCUAGCUUUGGUACUUCAUAUGUUUCUAGGAAUCUCUCAUUUCUUCUGUGUUAUCAUACCUAUGAAAGUAGAGGUUUUCAAAAUAGGUGUUGAUAAUCUGUAUUUCUAUAGGGUCUGUAGUAAUUUCACCUUUUUCAUUCAUUGUCGCAUGAAUUUGAGCUUUUUCUUCCCUUUUUUAAUAAGGUUGGCUAGGGGCUUAUCAAUUCUAUUGGUUCUUUCAAAGAACCAACUCUUUGAUUCAUUGAUUCUUUGGAUUGUUUUCUUAGUCUCUAUUGCAUUAAUUUCUGCUCUGAUUUUAUAAUUUCCUCCCUUCUUUUGUCUUUGGCCUUGACUUGCUCUUGUUUUCCUAGAUGUUUGAGUUGUAACCUCAGGUUAUUUAUUUGUAUUCGUUCUGUUUUCCUGAUGUGGGAACUCAGUGCAAUACAUUUUCCUCUGAGGACCACUUUCAUUGCAUCCCACAGAUUCCAGUAAGUUGUUAUUUUAUUUUCGUUUGCUUGUAGGUAUUGUUUAAUUUCUUCUUUAAUUUCCCCUGUGACCUACUGAUUGCUCAAGAGUGUGUUAUUCAAUUUCCAUGUGGUUAUGUGAUUUUUGCAGUUUCUUUUAUCAUUAAUUUCUAAUUUCAUGGCGCUAUGAUCUGAUAACAUGCAUGCGAUAAUUUCAAUUCUUUUGCAUUUAUUUAAAUAUGUUCUGUGGUCUAAUAUAUGGUCUAUUUUAGAGAAUGUCCCAUGUACCACUGAGAAGAAUUUAUAUUCUGAUGUUGUUGGAUGGAACACUCUGCAUAUGUCUAUCAAGUCCAUUUGUUCACAGAACCAAGUUCAAAAGUAUAGGCAACAACUGUGAAGACAACAAGAUUCAUUAUGACACCCAUUCUGGUUGAUUAUUAUCUUCUUUUAAAGUCCUGUAAUGUCUCCAAUGUUUUGGUUUUAUUCUUUACUGUUUUGUUCAAUUUUAUUAUAACUGAUGAUAUAGGCAAUUCUUAAGAUAGCUAGAGGCAAUAUGGUAACCAUUGUUGAUCACCUAGUAUUUUGUUUUUACAUUAUCUAUUAUGUCCAUCCUUUGGUUUGACUGACUCUGUUCUGUUAUGUCACAUUUGGUUUUACUCUCUUCAAAAAAAAGUAAUAAGAACUGUGGGAGUAAUAAAAUGUGUAAUUGUCUUUGUACAAAAGAAAGGAAAAGAAAGUGCUCUAAAGGGUAUAAUUGCGUGUAUAUUUAAGUGUAUAAGAUAGAUAACCAUAUUACUGAGUUUUGUUGGAUCAUUGAACAAAACUGUUUGCAGUCUCACUGUUUGAAAGUCCACUUUAUAUGCUUUAAUUUUGUAACUUGAACAACUAUUUCUAAGAUAACAAUAUGUAAUGUAUUAACUAGUGAUUUCCUGUUUAUUUUUUCUGAAAUUCUGUAUAACUU